AAAAAUGUUCUUCAAAUCUUCUUCACUUGUUGAUUCUGAGAGAUUCUUUACAUAGACAUUGUUAAAUUUUGUCUUGCUAAUAGCGGUAUCUCUUUCCUGCUUUCGAACAAAGGGGCCCACAUACACUUGCUUAUCAUUCAGUAGCAUACCAUUCAACUUCUCUAUUGCUUUUUGGGCAGCUUCCUCAUUGUCAAAUUGUACAAAGCCAUAACCUUUUGAAUGGCCAGAGGGGUCUGUGGCUACCUUGCAAGAUAGAAUGUUUCCAAAUGCAGAAAUGUAGAUGUACAAUGAGCUUAUUCUGGUCGUGCCGCUUAUCUUAAAUUCUGCCAGAUCCAACAAGAACAGAAAACAAACAAAAAAUAAACCAUAUGAGAUUUGUGAAGCACAGAUUUAUAAAACAAAGCUGCAUGUGAAACCACAUGAUUGUCAAAUUUUUCUUGCCUUGAUAAAUAUAUUCCCAGAGCCACUUUUACGAAGACUAGGGUCGCGGUUUGAGUACAUAAUCCGGAUAGGCUUUCCAUUUAGAGGAGUGAAAUUCAGAAGGUCCAAUGCCCUUGCAGCUGUAAGUGAACAGAAGAGAAUGUCAUGAAGAAUAAAGAGCAAACAUUUUUUUUCAGGGGAUCAAUGGUGAAGGCAAAAUAUUAGUAAAGUUUUUUUCAAAUAAUAUGUACUAAUAACGAAAGCCACAGCUUGAGUUGGUCUCCACCUUGCUGAUAGAGACAAACUUGGUUGAUGAUUUACAAGGAAGCCUGAGAAGAUAACAUAGAAGCAUUUGGAAGUAAGGAUAUACUAUGCAUUACUCUCUUUCCAUUAGGCUACAAUCUCACAUUCUGCUGUUUUUAUCUUUAUAAACUUUCUUCAUUUCUGUCUAUUUGAAAAGCACUUAUAAUAUUACAUUUCCUAUUUUCUCUCUAGCUAAUCAUUCUCCCUUCACCCAUUACAGGGUAUCGAGAAAGGCCAAGUACAUAUCAUCACAUGGCUUCCAUGGGUUGGUAUGGGAAGACACACUGAAACGGAAAUAAACAGGAAUGAAAAAUCCCCAUAUAAAUACUCACUUAAUGCACCUCAACAUUAAGUAUAUGGUUAAUAGUUCACUUGGUAUCAAAGAAGGCUCCAUGAGGUACAGUUCGUGGCUGCUUGAUACACAGAAAUUCAAGCCAAACUGAGACAAAACGGCGUUUGCUAUAUUUUUCUAAUAAAAAGACAAGAUAUUUCAUCUAAAGCAGAAAAUCAACAGUGAAAAUUCAUGUGAAGAAUAAAGUUUACACUUCAGAGAACACAGUCAAAACUUACACUCAUUUCCUGCCUAAAUCAGCUUGAUAAUGUAAUGUGCCCUUGAAAAUUUUUACUGGAAAAAAGUUAUCAUCCAUUUCAAAUUGAACCAACAUAACCUUUUCCGUCCUUUCAUAAUUCAUCCAAACAAAAUGCAAAAGUAAGUCUAAAACUUAAAUCAUUAGUCAAAUUAUAUUUGUAAAACCAUUCAAAAUACCAAUCAAAGCAACAAUCCAUUAUUAAACAAGGCAAAUAAAGGAAUGUAAAAAUCAUCAAAUCUACACUAAACACAAUAUUUAGCAAGGCAAACCAAAAAAAAAAAAAAAAAACUAAAUCUUAUAAAACUGAAAACUAACCUUCCUGAGGGUUGUUAUAGUUGACAUAACCGUAACCAAGAGACCUCCGGGUUGACAAAUCCUUGCAAACACGAACCGUAACCACUUGACCCACCUGGUUAAAGCACUCAUAAAGCUGCGUUUCCGUCACACUCAAAUCUAAAUCCCCAACAUAAAGCGACGUCGUUACAAACAGGUCAUUCACCCCUCCAGCUCCAUUGUUGACACUCACAUUUUGCCCCUGAAUUUGAACCUGUGCCAUCUUUCUAAAAAAAAAGCCCAAAAAAAAUGCUUUUUUUCGAAGUUUUCUCUUUUUUUUUUCUUUUUUUUGGGUUUUUCUUUCUUCCCUCUCCUCUUGUUAUUAAUCAACAAAACCUAGAGAGAUAACUGAUAUUAACUAAACCCAAGUGCUUUGAUAAACCUUCCUAAAGAAGCAAACUUUCCUUUUUUUUUCUUUUUUUUUUGUGUUUUAAAGGGAGGAGAGGGAAGGGCAAGAAAGGGAAAUGGAUAUUUGCCGCCGGCUGAAGAUGAAGAGGCGGCGGCGCGUGAGAAUAUGAGGUUCAGAAUUGAGAAAAAGGAGAGGUUUUGAAGGAGUAGCAACAACCGCAAAGAAGGGAUUUUUUUUUCUGAAAAAACCCUAAGGCGGUUCCUAGGACGAGAUCUCCGCCGUUGGAUUUGGUUUUGGAGGACUUCUUUGUGGGGCCCAAAAUGACGAGGUAAAAGAUAACAAUGCUAACCAUAGAUUUUGAGGUGGAUCACCUCCGUCAGAAGGCGCGUGUGGGGUCUGAUGAGAAAGAAUGGUAUGAAAUCGUUACUUGUCUUUCUGUCAAAGUUUCAAAUAUAUCCAUACAAUCUAUGCAAUUUAUACAAUAAAACAAAAGUAAUCCUUUUGAAAAUGAUGAUAAUAUUUUUUAAUUAUGUGAUAAUUGAAUGAUAGGUAUUUAAAUUGAUUGUAAUGCCUUUUUUUUUUUUAUAAUCAAUCAAAAUUGUUAUAAUAAAUUUUUUAUUAUGAAAUUUUAAAAUUUAUUUAUCAUAAUUAAUUAAAAUUAUUAUAAUAUUUUUUAUUACAAUUAUGUGAAUAUUUUUUUUAUUAUUAUUGAUCAAAAUUAUUAUAUUAUAUACUUAUCAUAAUUAUAAAAAUGUCUCUUCCAUCACAUUAAAAUUAUUGGUUUUUUUCUUUAAAAAAUUAACUUAAAUGAGUGAUGAUAUUAAUAGUUUUUGAUUUUGUGGGUAAAUAAAUUUGAUUGAUAAUUGAUUAAAGUUUCUAGUAGAUAAAUAUUAUAUUGAUAUGUUAAAUUGUCAUAUAUGUAUUUUGGAUUUGACUUUAAUCUAUAUAAUUUUUUUAAAGUAAUCUCCUUUUAUUUAAAAUGAAAAUCAAUACUUAUCCAAUUAUAAUUGUGUGACAUAAUCAAAGUAUCGAUUUUUUUAUUUUUUUUCAAAAUAUUAUAUUUUUCAAAAUAAAAAACCAAAAAUUACUAAAAAUAUUUUAAUAUUUAAUUUAUUAUUAAAGUAAAAAAAAUUAAAUAAUUUAUAUUUCAUCAAAAUAAAAAAAUUACAACUCAAUCAUUACAAUAUAAUUUUUUUUCUAGUAUCUAUACUAUCUUAUAUAAAAAAAUAUAAGGGAUAUGCCAUUAAUAUUUUUUUUUAUUUUGCAAUUCUUUUAUAUUUGAUCGAAACCAGGAGGCAAAAGCUUCGUUCACAAGUGUCUUUUUAUUAUUUUAUAUUUGACAUGUGUAUUUUAAUUCAAAUUUUGAAACUUCUUUUUUUGGUUUCCAUUACAGCUUGAAAGAAGGAAGUUUGGCUUAAAAUAGUGACUUAUCUGGCGUGUAUUUCUUGGUUCUUUUUUCUUUCAUUAUUUUUUAGGCAUUUUUUAGUAAAAUUUUUACUUCUUUUUGUUGUUUAAUUGAAUGUGGGUCUUUUUUUUUUGGAUGAUUUUGGUGUUAUAGAUUUUAAUUUUGUUUAAUGGAGUUUGAUUGUUGAAUAGGGUUUGAGUUUUCUUAUCAUGAGAUUUACAUAUUGUUGUGAAUGCAAUUUUAUUUUUGGAAGAUUUUCUUUUUGCUUGUUUUGAUGUUAUAUAAAAAUCAAUUUUUAGUUGUUGUUUUAUUUGAUGACGCUUCUUUUUAUUGGUGUUGUAAUCAUUUUUUUUUAUAGAAACAUAGUUUUUUAGUGCAUAUUUUGUGAUGUUUUUUAAGAGUAUUUUAUUUUGCAUGUUGUUUGAAUGAAAUUGUGAUUUUGUUUUCAAUUGAUAUAUAUUUUUGAUCUCAGGGUUUUUUGAAGGUUUUUGGAUAUUAAAUUUUUAGGUUAGUAUAAAUUCUAUUAUGUAUUGUUCUGCUUUAUUGUGUAUUUUGAUUUGUUAAGUUAUAUGUAGCGUUUGUUUUUUAACAUUAUAUAUUUGAUUCAUUUGUUAUGCCUAUCAAGUGUUUGUUUGUUUUUUAAAAUUUUUUUCUUAUAAUGUCUUGGUAUAAUUAAAUGACGUAAUGAAUCAAACAACUUCAUCCCUUAAGGAUCGUGGUCAUGAUAGUUAAGUUUUUCUUUUCUCUUUUCUUAAGAAGUUUUUGUUGACAGGUGUAUUUCUUUUGGUGUUGACCUUUUUUGUUUCUUUCUUAAUGUGUUUCUGUUGAUUAGUGUAUUCCUCGUAUUGUUGUUAGAGUAAGUUAUAUAUAGUUCUCUUGAAAGCACUUUGAAUGUAAAUUUGAUUAAGAGAUAGGUUAAUUGGUUGAUUUUUUUUUUAAGCCAUGUUUUUCAUCUUUGAAAAAAAAAAUUUUGCCUUUUAUUCUUUGGAUGAAGAAUUGCGAACAUGUAACUAUUAGGAAAGAACAAAAAAAAUCAAAGUUAUCUUUUUGUAUUGAUAAACAAUCCACUUUGAAUUAAAAUUCUUUUCUUAAGAUGUUUUUAUUGACCUCUUUGUGUUUCUCUAAAUUAUUAUCUGAAUUAAGAUUUUUACCAUUGUGAGUUUAUAGGUUUUUCAAUGUUUCUUUUAUGUAUUUCAGAUUGCAUUUAGAAUUAACAUUUUGGGAUUUAAUUUGCUUUCCUUUUUUGAUGUAAAAAAAGGCUAUCUAAGUAACUACAUGAAAGAUAUAUUAAUAAUGUGCUAGGUCGACAUCUUUAAAGAGGUUCACUGUGUUUAAAUAUGCUUUCUUUAUAAUAUACUUUUUCAGCUUCUAAAUUGAUAAAGAGUUUUUAAGUUGAUAAGUAGUCCACUUUGAAAUCACCCAAAAGCCUAACUUUCUCAUUAGCUUGUUUAAGAACCGUAACUUUUCACAAACCCAAAUUAGAAACCUCAUUAAAAAAAAGACCUAAAUUAUCGCAAACAUUAAUUUUUUUAAUUAUCAGAAGUGUUUUUGUUCCAAACUUGGUAUGAAUAAUCAAGCAGAUAAAGCUAUCCAAAAAGUAGUUCAUAAGUCUGAGGAGUUUAAUAUAAGGUAGUUCUUAUUCUAUUUUCAUCAUAAAGUUGUGAACCUACACUGAGUUUUCUUGUUAAGCCUUUUUCCUUUUUAAACAAAUUUUAAUUCAAUGUCCUCUAAGAAUUGGAUAAUUCUAUCUGGACUUUCUCAAUUAAUAGAAUAUAUGAUUAGGAUUCCUAAUUUAGGAAGUAAGGAUUUUAAGUUGAUCAACUAAGUUGAUUAGGAAAUAAAAAAAAAAGGUUGAUUGAGUACCAAAAGAUAAUUAUGGUUGAUAUUUUACAAUAAUUGUUUGUAUUUUUAAAGACCAUAUUAUAGAGGUGAAUUGAAGAGCUGAUGAGUAAGAAGCAAAACCUUUUGGGGAUAUGGAUGUUAAUAAGGAUCUUGGUGGUGUUCAUUUUUAAAAAUCAUGCUUUAACUUCAUUAAUGAUUCCAGUAUUCCAUGUUCUUGCGGAUUUGAUAGAUCUUUGUAACCAAUUUGGUUGGUUGGCUUGGGCAUGUCUUUAAUAGUUUGAAGAUUCUGAUAGAAAGAAAAUGAUGCUUCAUUCUAACAUUAUUCCAUGACUUACUAUAGCAAUCAUGUUGCUUUGUUGUUAUUUUUCUCUUGCAAAGUGUGUUUCAACAUAAUAGUAAACCUCUUGUUUUUUUGCCAUAAAAAUGAACUUUCUUUAGCUCCAGUAAAAGUGCAUUUUAGGGAUGAGUGAAUUUUAAGCUUAUGAAAUUCUUUUGAUUUAUCUACUUAUUUUUGCUUGGAAGUUAUUCUAGAGGUAUUCAAUUUAUAAAUGAAAAACAAAAGGCAAUAAAAUUGUUUGUUUCAUCUUUUAUUCCAGCAGAAUAUCAAGUUUAUGAAUGAAAGAAUUUGAUUUUGAUUUGUUUUCAAUUUUCACUGGAUUCAUAAUUUAAGGUUUUAUUUUCUAGAAGAGGUAUUUAAUAGGCUUUCUAAAAGCCAAAAAUAGGAGGUGUAGCGUUUAAAUUUUUCUAAAUCAUUAAUACUUGUCUUAUUUUUGCUUAGAAGCUAUUCAAUAGGUUUAGCAUUUCAAUUUUAACAUUUGUAAUUUUUUUUUAUCAUUAGAUUGUGAUAUAUUUUAUAAAAAGUGUUAUUUUAUGGUGUAUAUUGAAAAAGAGUUUCUCCAAAGGUUUGUACCCAUUACAAGGAUUUUUUAUGGUGUAUACUAAAAAAGAGUUUCUAUGGUGUAUACUAAACCAAUGUGAAUUUGCCUAUCAUUUUUUAAGCUUAAGUUUAUCUCUCUAAUAUUCUUUUAUCUAGCAUUGAUACAACAUUAGUUUAAUUUUUUUAUCCGUUAAUUGUUCAGUAAAGUGAUGACAUAUCAUUUCCACGUCUUUGCUUAAUUUUACCAUGUGUGUUUUUUAAAGUUCAUGAAGAAUAGUGGCUAUAAUCAAGAUUUGUCUUACAAUCUGGACAGACUAGUAUUAAUGAUCUUACCUUAUAUGGCAUAUGCCAGUGCUAUCUUUGUUAUUCAUGAAUGCAUUUUUGUUUUUUGGCUAUAUAUUUCUUCCUUGAAAGAUAGUCAACAUAUAUAUUAAAAGUAUGAAAUAAUUAUUGUUUUCAACUUAGCUAUUUAUUGUUUGUAGUGAAAAAUGAUAGUAUUUAAUCAUUUUUAAAUUUGUUGACUAUUUUAGAAUAAAUUACAAGUGAUUGUAUUGAUUAGGAAGAACGAAGGAAUUAAAAGGCACUGAAAAUGCAAUUUUCCUAAGUUUUAUUUUAAUUUUACUUUCAAACAUUAAUUCAUAAUAUAAUUGGAUUAUGUAAUUACAAUGAAUUUUUUAGCUUUAUUUGAUAUUGGUUUAAUAUUAAAUGGUUCAGGUGAUAAGAGUCAUACUUUAUAGUGCUAUCCAACUGUUUGCUUAUGAAACUUAUAUAGCAAUAAAAUAAUAUGCAUAACCUAAUCUUAGCAUGUCUUACACUAUAUCCUUAGAUGAAAUUAUUUUUUAUUUUCAUUUCUUAUUAAUUUCUAAAAACUUUUCAAGGGAAAAGAUGGUAAAGUAUCUGUUAUUGGGAGACUUGCUGCUUAAAUUUAUGCAAGCAUGACAUUUACUACUAUAAGUGAUACAAUGAUUGAGCCUUCUUAUAUUUUAGUCUAUAGGUUGCUCGCUAAUUAAACCUCUGUAAGGACUUGUACCAAUUUAUUUAAUCUUAAAAGAAAUUAGCAUUAUCACUCGAAAACAUUUUUUAACAUUUUAUGGAUAUAUCUAUUUGGAUUCAAUUUGCAAUUAUUAUUGUGAUUUUUGUGACACUUAUUUGACUUACGACUCAUUAAGUAUUUUGAUUCUGUUUUGUCUUUUUUAUGUAUUUAUGUUUACUAUAAUCCUUUCGUAUUUAGUUUCUAAACAGAUUUUUCAUUAAAAAUUUCAAAAAUUAAGUAUGGUUUAUUAGUUUGGUUGUUUCAUUUAGAAAAAAAUUGUUAACAAGUCUUUUUUUGGAUUUAAAUUUCAGCCAUUAGUUAGAAAACAACACAAUAUAGGUUACAAACACAAGGUUAAUUAUAGUGAUUUUUUUUUGUAUUUUAUUUAGUUAUUUAUCUUAUGAAUUGUACUUUUAUGCUUAUUAUUUGUGUAAUUUUAGGCAGACGUUAAAACAACAGACCCAGAGCUUAAUUGACCAAAGGAUCAAAGAACAUCUUGGCCAAGUUACAACUUUCCAGUAGGUUGGAGUUGCUUUUAAUCAACAUCUAAUGGCUUAAAGGCCUUGACUUCCUAUUCUUCUGGCACUAGUCAUCCUCAUUCCGAAAGGUGCAUCGUUAUCUAUAAAUCAACCAAUGAUCAUCGGGAUGAGGCCUUUUGUUCUAUCAAUACCAAUUCCAGGUGCUUUAGGUAAGAUUCAAUUGUGGGUGUUUUAAAAGAAUUCGGUUACUUAAAUCAAAUUUGCAUUUCAAGCAAACUAAGUAGGUAAUUUUAUUUAGGUAUUUGGGUUAUUUUUUGUUUUGUUUGAUUUUUUGAAAGAGUUGUUAAACAUUAUUUCUUAAUUAGGUUAAAAGUGAGUGAAAAGCUUGGUUUUUUGUUUUGUUUUGAUGUUUUUGGCAAUAUUGUGAUAUUUGUCUCAGUUAUAAUUUUAGUAGGAUUGCAUGUUAGUUUUGUUUAUUUUUAUGAUUUUCAAUUAUAGAGUGAAUUUGUUAUUUGAUUUAUUUUCAUUGUUUUUAAUUUAUGAGAUCUUAUUUUUUUGUAGGUAUAGAUGAAAAUAUUAGGUUAUUUAAGUUUUAGGUAAAUUUUAAAUUAAACUUUUUGGUUUUUGUAUUGUUGUGUAUUUCUUUUCAAUUGUGUGUGAUUUUGUUUAUUUGAUUUAUUUGUUUCUUGAAUUUUUUGUAAAAAUACUUACUGAGGCCCAAUUAGUGAGUGACCUAUUUUUUGAAUUUAUUUAAUCAAUUGGUAAAGAUCUUUUCAUUGAUUUUUCCUUUUUUUUUUUGGGUUUAUUUGUUUAAAACAAAUCAAUUAAUCGUUUCAACCAUGUUUGGAAAUGAUUCUUCGAUGCAUUUGUCCUUGGGACAAGCUUUUUUUUUUUUGUAUUUGUUUCAUCAUUUGGUGUAAUUAGAAAAACUAAAAAUCAAAUUUUUGUUUGUUGAUUCUUUUUUUUUUAUAUACCUAAACAUGAAAAAGAGUUAAUAAUUUAAAAUAGUAUGGUUCUUUUUGUUUGCUUUCAUUUGAAGUGUUAAUAUCAGCUUGAAUAUAGGGUUUUCCAAGCAAUGAAACUCCAGAUUAUGUUCCUUUUGAAAUAUAAGAGUCUUUGCAUGUUAAAAAAAAAAAACAUUGAUGGAUAGUUGGCCACUAUUUAACUUAGUAAUCUUUAGUGAUUAAAGUUUCAAUCCUUUUUGGUUUACAUUGCAUUUAUAGGGACUUUCAAUAUACAUAAGAACAAUGCUUUUUACCAACGUAAGGGAUUCAAUUUAUAUUGGAUUUCUUCUGAAUUGUGUAUAGAGUAUAGACUCUAUGUUAAUCAUUUUUGUAUUUGUUUGUUGAUUAGUUUAACUUUUUUUUCAGACUAUUCUGAGUGCAAUAAGGAGUUGGUGAGAAAUCAACGACUAUUAUUGGUGCAACUUUUCAAGUAGAAUUAGCAUAUCAUAUACAUUUCUAUAUUAAUCUUUUUCUUAUUAUCAUACUUGAUUUGUGAUAAUUGGGAUUUUUAUGGAAUCCUUUAAGAAUUGAAGUGAGUUUUAGGUCUUCUAAUAAUAAGUUUUGAUUAUUGUAAUUCUUACGGUGGUUCUUGAUAAAUCUAACAAGAAUGUUUGGAGGCAUAUUAUUAACAUAUUAUUAGGUUUACUCAUUUAGACUUUCUUGGUUUUAUUUUUUCUUUUUCUUUACCAAAACUAUCUUUUCAAGUUCACAUUGAGAGACUAAUACUUUAAUGCUUUUCUUUAGGGAAUCUUGAUAGUAACAGGAAAAUGUGGUGUUUAGUUGCAAAUCUUGUAAAUGAUUUAAGUAUGUUAACGUUUCUUCUAGAGAAAUUUCAUUGCAGCAUAAUAGAAUGACUACAGAUCUUCGACCUUUCUCUCUCCCAUACAUGUAUGCAUUUACGUGGAUCAAAAGAUAUGCACAUGGACAGAGGAUAGUACACACAUAAGUGUAGAGACUGUUCUAAUUAGUUUACUAAUUGCUUUAUGUUAAUUGCACAUAUCACUAAGUUUAAACUCAAUCAACUAACAAUUAAAUAAAAUAUUAAUAAUGUUCAUAGCAAACCAGGCGAAAGUUGGGCUUCCCGCACUAAUAUGUAUAAUCAUAAUGUUUGCUUAUUAUUAUAAAACAAACUAAGGCAUUAGUGAUGGGAAGUAAAAUGCAAAUUGGUUUAUUUUUUAUUUGAGUAUCAAAAAUUAAAAUUUAAUUAUUAAAAUUAAAAUUCUAGCAUUCUAUUAAUAAAUCAUAUUAAAUUGAUUUGAUAAAUAAAACAAAAUUUAUUUGUUUUUUAUUAUUAUAUCAUCAAAAUUUAAAAAAAAAUGCAUAGAUAAAAUGUGCGAAGUUAUUUACACAACAAGAAAUAACUUGUUAUCAUAAUUGCUAAGCACCUGGCGUGUGAUGUAGUUUAUUUCCAUUUUCUUAUCCAUUAAUUAAUGUUAAAUAUAUAAGAAGAUAGCCUAUUUUUUCAUAUUUAUUUUUUUACAAAGUUAGAGAUCAUAAAGUUAAAAUAAUGAGUUAUAAUUGUUAAAUUUUAAAUUUUAGAUUUUUUUAUAUUUAAUUUGACUUAAAUGAAUUGCUAUGCUAUUAAUGCUAUAUGUAUAGACAUACAUAUUGUCUGCGGUUGAAAUUAAAAGGACCGUAUGUGAUAUAACAAAAUGAUAUUGAAAUGUCAUUAAAAUACCAUUUACUUUGGCAAGUUGAAUCCUCAAUGAUUUUUUUUUUUUUUAAUGAAUGAAUCCUCGAGGAGUUAGGUGGUGCUAUUACACCAAAAUUUUUUUUUUAUUAUCAUUAUAUUUCAGUUUCAUUGAUUUUUGAAAAAAAAAAUGUAAUUGACAGAAAUUUAUUGCCUGUUUGAGUGAAAUGUAUUGUAAAAUAGUUCAAUAUUUUUUGUUAAAAAAUUAAUGAAAUCAAUAGUAUAAUGAUAAAACUAAUAAAAAUAAAAUUUAUUUUUAAAUUAUAAUAUUUUGAAAAGUUUGACCUUAAUCUCUAUCUUUUCAUAAACUAACUUCAAAAAAAUUACAAAAAGUUAAAAGUUAAAAUUCUUAUUUUGCUUUUGUCAAUUUACCAAUUUCAAUUCAAGUUGUUUUUUUUUUUUUUUUUUUUAAAUAAUGAAUGAAUAUAUAUAAAUAUCUUCAUGACACUAAUUAAAGCUCAACACAGAGCUAUGAAAAUAAGUAAAAUUAAACUGUAAAUCUUAAGUUAGAGUCUUUAAUAUAUAGUACUUUAUUAUGAAGAAAGAAAAGAUUUUUGUACAUAUGUUUCAGCAUAUAAGAAUUUAAAAAUAUAUUUGAUACGUAAGAUUAUGAUAAAAUAUGAUAAGAUUAUAUUAUGAAUAAGAUUAAAUUAAAUAAUAUCAUCAUAUUUGAUAUGUGCCAUGAUUAAGAUAUGAUAAUUUAUUUAUUGAUCAAAAUUAUCUUUUUUUAAAAAUUUAUAUAAUUUAAAUUAUUGAUAUAAUUUUUAAGGGUAUAAUAAAACAUAUAAGUUUAAUAUUAUGGAUUAAAAAUAAUUUUGUCCAUUUUGAAAGAAUUGAAUAAUUCUAUACUAUGAAGAUGAUUAAUUUUCUUUAUAAUCUUAUCAUUUUUUUUAGAUAUAAAUCGAAUAUAAUAUAAAAUGAUUAUUAUUUUAUUCUAUCCAUUAUCCGUAUAUUUGAAAAUUAUACAAUUUUAUGUUUUGGUUAAUUCUAUGAAAAUUAUAAUCAUUAUUUGUUACUUUUAAGAAUACAUAACAUAAAUCAUACGUAUCAUUAUAUAAUAUAUGAAUGAAAUAGAAAGAAAAUUAAAAAAAAAUAAAAAAUAAAUAUAUAUAUAUAUUUAUAAGAGGUUCAUAUCGUAACUUUUAGUCUAACCAUUUGUAGAAGUAAAAAAUAAUCUAUUAAUAAAAAUAAUAUCUCUAUUUUUAUUAUCAAUCACAACAGAUUUUUAGUGGAUCUUAAAAGUUUUUGAAACUCACUAAUUAUGAGUUCGGAUCUUAUGAACUCAUAUUGUGAGAGUUAUCGUUAAACUUUGAGAUGGUUUAACCACAACCACUAACUAUUAAUUUAUAAUAAAUAGAUAAGAGUUUGUUUUAAAUAUUUCAAUUUGAUAAAUUUGAUUUUUUGUUAACAAAUAUGAUUUUAGUUAAAAUUUUGUGAUUAUGAUCAACACACAUUAAAAUUUCCCAAAAAGUCUUGCGAGAUCGGAUUAUAUUUAUUUGAGAAAAAUUAUACACAUUUAUCAUUCUAUUUUGUGGUUUGUCCAAAUAUAUUAUUAAGCUCAAUGUAAGAUAUAUUUCAAUGAAGAUUUUGAAAGAAUUGAUCGGGUUUGCACUAAUUUAAUUUGACCUUUAAAAUCUUUAUUUAUUUAUUUAUUAUACAUGAUUUAUUAUUAUUAUUAUUAUUAUGGCAGAUUUGCAAACUUCGACUGUAAUUGAAUUUACUCUCACAGCAGCUACAAAAGUAAAAAUUACAAAACAUCUAAUAAUAGGUCCACCCUUUCAAAUCGCAGCUCUUCAAUGAUCAUGCUAUUACUAGGGAUCGAUUCAGCUCAUGAUUCUCCUUUCUAAAGCAAUGAAAGCCAACGUAAUAUCAAUCUAAAUCAGAAUCAGCAAAUGAAUCUGCAAAAUUUUUCACCCAAAACCCACACAAUCAAUUUAAUCCAAAAGAUAGAAGGCAGUGAAAGUGCAUAUUCAGUGACAGCAAUCAAUUAUAAAGCAUUAAAGUGACAGUAUUGAAGUUCCAAAACACACUAGGAAAAGUAUAGAAUCAAACCGGCUCUAUCCUCCUAAUGAAGCAACUCAUUUGAACUCAACAAAGGCCACACUACCAUAGCAUUUAAGGAGACAACUCUAGCAGGCAUUCAAACUCAGGAGACAAGGUUGUCGUUUAAUGACAAUGAAGCCAGCUGAUCAGCAGCAACACCAGUCUGCUGCUGCUGAGCAACAGUCCUCAGAACCUCCAUUGCUUCUGCAACCUUGGCUUUUAGAGCAUCAGGUGACUCAAGCAAGUGUAAAACCUCAGUCUGAUCCAUUUCCAGAAGCAUCCCUGUCACUUUAGCUGCUGCGUCAGGCUCCAGCUGUUCAACAAGUGGAUAGAGAUUCUCCCCCAGCAUCUACACAUAUUCAACCAAUGUAAAAAUUUCAGAUAACCAGAAUAGUAGUAUAAGUUUUUCAUUUUCAGAAACUUGAACUGAACCUUUUUAAAAAGGAAUAAUUACAAAAACGCCAUAGCAAGUAUUUAGCAUCAUUUAAAUGUAUGAAAGAAGGAAAUUAAAUGUUACCAAUAAAAAUUCACAUCUUAAUAGGGGAACUCUAUCCUUUUUAAAUAUUAGGGUAUAAUACUCUUCAACAUAAAUUUUAACUUUUGUAAUUAACCCUUCUAAAAUUGACUAAAAUGCGGUACAAGUAUAAUCUAAACUUGGAGAGCAUAACUAUACAGAACAUAAAAAUAACAAAUAAAUAAAGCAAAGCAGUGCAUACCGUUCUUUGCUGAUCUGGAGUAGCAUUUGCAAGUGCCGAGGCCAAGGCUCCUAUUGGAAUUGGCUGAGAAAGUGAAGUAUCACGCAUUGGCAUGCCACCCAUAUCAUAUGGAACAGCAAGCAUGCCUCCAGCAACAUUGGGCAUUGAAACAUCAGGUAGGCCACGCCCUGAUGGAUAGCGAUAGACCCGCCCUCGGGGUAGAAUCUGAUAUUUAAAUGAACCAUCAGAUGAAGUAUUUACAGAUAUGAACAUCUUUAUAAAAGAUAUUACAAAAUCCAAGAAGUGAUUAAACAAACCUGCUGUUGCAUUAAUGGAACCGGUUGCUGACUUUGCUGAAUGGCCCCAGCCCUUCUGCCACCAGGACGCUGACCCUGCUGGCCUUGCUGAACCAUUGGCACAAAGAAAUUUGGCAUGGGAGCCCCACCAGGCCUCAUACCAGGGAUAAGCUGCUGUUGAUAUCCAAAUCCAGCCUGGCAGGAAAAAAAUAAAAAGGUCCAUAAAUUUCUAAAGCAGGUCUACAAAUACAUUGAUUACUCCGGAAAGUUAAAAUAUACCUCUAUGACUAAGAAUGCCAAGAAAUAAAACGCAAAAUAAAUAUUUACCUGAGGAGGAAAAAUAGCAGGAGGUGUUUGACUAUAGAAUAUUUGCUGCCCAAGACCUGGACCACCAGGUGGGUACAUUGGCAUACGAGGUGUAGGUGCCAUUGCAACUGGUCGCAUUUGAGAAAAUUGAGCCUGUAAACAACCCAUUACAUGCUUGAGCAUACUAAAGAAUCAAAACCAUCGUAUUGCCCCAGACUCAAAGCAAAUAUCAAGAGAACAUACCUGCAACCUAGCUCUCCUAUCUUCCUUCCUUUGAGCUAGUGCCACAUAGAGAGGUUUGCUUACAACCAUUUUGCCAUUCAUCUCCACAAGCUGUCAUAAUAAGAAAAACUAUUAGCUUAUGAUAAGAUCAUGAAAGUAAGGACAGCAUUCUCAUCUUACAGCUCUAGAUGCUUCUUCUGGAGUUGAAAAUGCAACAAACCCAGAUCCUUUACUUAUUCCAUUAGGGUCUCGCAUAACCUGUUAAAUUAAAUAAUUGGCAUCAGUCAACCGAUUACCAGAAUCCAUUGAAUUUAACUAUUCUAGAAAACAUGCUAGCAAACCUUGCAUGAUGCUAUGGUACCAUAUUGAGAGAAUAACUCUUUAAGUUUUUCAUCGCUUAUGCUAUCAUCCAAAUUCUUAACAUACAAAUUUGCACCUUGAAAUUUAUCCGCUGCCUCUUUCAUUGUCUGCUCAAAUUUAAGUUUCAGUUCAACCUCCCUUUCAGAUUUUUUUUGAGCUUUCCCAACAUACCACUCCUUAUCAUCAAAUUUCUUUCCAUUGAGGGACUCAACAGCAAUAGCAGCAUCAUCUGCAUUCUCAAAGUUUAUAAACCCAAAGCACUUGGAUUUCCUAUCUGGUUCCCUCAUCACCACAGCACUAGUGAUUGGACCAAAUUCACCAAAAAUGUUCUUCAAAUCUUCUUCACUUGUUGAUUCUGAGAGAUUCUUUACAUAGACAUUGUUAAAUUUUGUCUUGCUAAUAGAAGUGUCUCUUUCCUGCUUUCGAACAAAGGGGCCCACAUACACUUGCUUAUCAUUAAGUAGCAUACCAUUCAACUUCUCUAUUGCUUUUUGGGCAGCUUCCUCAUUGUCAAAUUGCACAAAGCCAUAACCUUUUGAAUUGCCAGAGGGGUCUGUGGCUACCUUGCAAGAGAGAAUGUUUCCAAAUGCAGAAAAUGUAUCAUGCAAAGCUUUUUGGUCGAUGCCCUUAUCUAAAUUCUGCCAGAUCCAACAAGAACAGAAAACAAACAUAAAAUAAACCAUAUGAGAUUUGUGAAAAACAGAUUAUAAAACAAAGCUGCAUAUGAAACCACACGAUUGUCAAUUUUUCAUUGCCUUGAUAAAUAUAUUCCCAGAGCCACUUUUACGAAGACUAGGGUCACGGUUGGAGUACAUAAUCCGGAUAGGCUUUCCAUUUAGAGGAGUGAAAUUCAGAAGGUCCAAUGCCCUUGCAGCUGUAAGUAAACAGAAGAGGAUGUCAUGCAGAAUAAAGAGCAAACAUUUUGUUUUCUAGGAAUCAAUGGUGAAGGCAAAAUAUUAGUAAGUUUUUUUCAAAUAAUAUGUACUAAUAACGAAAGCCACAGCUUGAGUUGGUCUCCAACUCCACCUUGCUGAUAGAGACAAAUGUGGUUGAUGAUUUACAAGGAAGCCUGAGAAGAUAACAUAGAAGCAUUUGGAAGUAAGGAUAUACUAUGCAUUACUCUCUUUCCGUUAGGCUACAAUCUCACAUUCUGCUGUUUUUAUCUUUAUAAACUUCCUUCAUUUCUGUCUAUUUCACAAGCACUUAUAGUAUUACGUUUCCUAUUUUCUCUCUGGCUAAUCAUUCUCCUUUCACCCAUUACAAGGUAUUGAGAAAGGCCAAGUACAUAUCACCACGUGGCUUCUAUGGGUUGGUAUGGGAAGAUACGCUGAAACGGAAAUAAACAGGAAUGAAAAAUCCCCAUAUAAAUACUCACUUAAUGCACCUCAACAUUAAGUAUAUGGUUAAUAGUUCACUUGGUAUCAAAGAAGGCUCCAUGAGGUAAAGCUCCUGGCUGCUUGAUACACAGUAAUUCAAGCCAAACUGAAACAAAACGGCGUUUGCUAUAUUUCUCUAAUAAAAAGACGAGAUUUCAUCUAAAGCAGAAAAUCAACAGUGAAAAUUCAUGUGAAGAACAAGUUUACACUUCAGAGAACACAGUCAAAACUUACAUUCAUUUCCUGCCUAUAUCAGCUUGAUAAUGUAAUGUGCCCUUGAAAAUUUUUACUGGAAAAAAAGGUAUCAUCCAUUUCAAAUUGAACCAACUUAACCUUUUCCGUCCUUUCAUAAUUCAUCCAAACAAAAUGCAAAAGUAAGUCUAAAACUUAAAUCAUUAGUCAAAUUACAUUUGUAAAACCAUUCAAAAUACCAAUCAAAGCAACAAUCCAUUAUUAAACAAGGCAAAUAAAGGAAAGUAAAAAUCAACAAAUCUACACUAGACAGAAUACUUAGCAAGGAAAACCAAGAAAAAAAAAAAAAAAAAACCUAAAUCUUAUAAAACUGAAAACUAACCUUCCUGAGGGUUGUUAUAGUUGACAUAACCAUAACCAAGAGACCUCCGGGUUGACAAAUCCUUGCAAACACGAACCGUAACCACUUGACCCACCUGGUUAAAGUACUCAUAAAGCUGUGUUUCCGUCACACUCAAAUCUAAAUCCCCAACAUAAAGCGACGUCGUUACAAACGGGUUAUUCCCCCCUCCAGCUCCGUUGUUGACACUCACAUUUUGCCCCGGAAUUUGAACCUGUGCCAUCUUUCUAAAACAACAGCUAAAACCCACCCAAAAAAAACCUUUUUUUUUCUAGGUUUUCUCUCUUUUUUUUUUUUUUUUGGGUUUUUCUUUCUUCCCUCUCCUCUUGUUAUUAAUCAACAAAACCUAGAGAGAUAACUGAUAUUAGCUAAAACCCAAGUGCUUUGAUAAACCUUCCUAAAGAAGCAAACUUUCUUUUCUUUUCUUUUCUUUUUUUUUUUUUUUUGGUUUUUUUAAAGGGAGGAGAGGGAAGGGAAAGAAAGGGAUAUGGAUAUUUGCUGCCGGCUGAAGAGGAAGAGGUGGCGGCGCGUGCGAAGAUGAAGUUUGAGAAUUGAGUAAAAGGAGAGGUUUUGAAGGAGUAGCAGCAACCGCAUAGAGAGGAGUUUUUUUUCUGAAAAAACCCUUAGUUGGUUCCUAGGACGAGAUCUCCGCCGUUGGAUUUGGUUUUGGGGAACUUCUUUGUAGGGCCCAAAAUGACGAGGUAAAAGAUAACAAUGCUAGCCAUGGAUUUGAGUAAAUUUCUUGAAAGGUCACUAACUAUAUUAUGUCAUAAAUCUCAAUUAGAUCCUUAAACUUUAAUUUAUCUUAAUAAUGUCACUCAAAUUUGUUAAAUAUAUUAAACUUAGCCACCCUAGCAGAUUUCAUCAAAAAAAUAACGAAAAAAUGAUAAGACUGCCGCAUAAAGAACCAGGUAGUCUGUCACGUAAGUUUUAAAAUAAUUUACCACGUCAGCUUUUUUUUCACCCAAACCUAAAAAUUUUCUUUUUUGUCCUUUUAUCUCUCGAGUUGUCGAUGCUUCCUCUCUUUUCACUCCCCUUCGACAGUCAUUGGGUCAUGGUAAUAUUUUUGUGCUUCGGAAUGAAGUUGAAGAAAAAGAAAUUAUUGGUGGGUUUUGGAUGGAUCAGGGGAUCGAGAACUUGUGUCUCAUGGAGUUCGAGGAAUAUACUAUGGCUAUGGCGCUGAAGGACUAGAGAAAAAAAAUGCAAUGAUUAGAUUGGAGGAGUUGAGCAUCCAAAAUUCUACUUGUUUAUGGCCAUGAGCAUCCAAAACGUAAGUAUAAAUUUAUAAGUAUUUUUGUUGUUUCUAUUUUUUUUAAUUUCUCUUUUAUGAUAAAAUUUGGUUUUUGAGAAUCCGAAGCUGAAAUUUUGAAAUGGGUUAUGUUUGGUUUUCGAUAAAUGAAGGAAAAUUUAAUAAAAAUUGGAAGUUAUAAACUUGAAAAUUUUAAUCCAUUCAACCCCAUCUUGGUUAACUUAUACCUAAAUGAAAAUUUUGUUUACUAUUGGCUUUGGACCCUGAAGCUUAAUUAUAGUUAGUUUGGUUCUGAUUGGUUGUUGAGAAAAUGGAGGAAAAAGAAAGAGUAAAUUAUGUAGCAGGAAACUUGAUUUAAUCAACUUAGGCCAUGAUAAAUCCUGAAAGUUAGUAGCUUUAUUAACAGGUUGUGCUUUACUGGGUAGCUGCAUUCUGGUUCAUUGGGUCUUGGAUGAUUCCUUUUGCAACUCACAUGACAGUGUUCAGCAAGGAAUCUCUAACUUUCAGAGGACAAGCCUUGUUUCACCUUAUAAUUGAAGCAACUGAAGGCCUUGCUGGGAUUGCAACACGCCAGCGCUGUCUGUCUCAGUUUCAUCCCCUUCCAUCAGAUUGGUUUAAAUUUAGCUUGAGAGGGCAGUGGCAUUUUAAUGUUGUGCUAGGAUGCCUCAUGUUUCCUGUUGUCAACCGAUUAUCACAGUUCAACCUCAACUUGUUGUCCCUUAUGCCUUCUGCACCUGUAACCCUUACAGAGCACGCGGUACAUCAAUGCUCCACGACUCUUAUAAUAGUGCAUGUGGGAGUGGUUUGAUUACAAAAACAAACAUGUUAGCUUUUGCAACAUCCUUAGUCAUCCGACAUUGAUCCAUCUCUCAUGUACAUGAUCGUCGAGCACUGUAUAAAAAUCAAAUGGUGCAACUGAUAUUUUCACAUCUUUGUCUUAUUUUUCCAUUGAAGACCCUUAUUUCUAACUAACUACAAAGUAAAUAUACGAGAUCAAUACAAUUAGGCUAUUGUCUUCGUUGGGGGACUUGACCAAUGAUGCAGAGCUCAAAUCUUUAUCUUGUCAUAUAUAAAAUGCUUACAUCUGUAAGUCUUCUGUUUUGAAGAGAUGAAACAAAGUACUUUGAAAAUCUAAGGCUCAAAUUUGCAGAACACAUCUAAUGAUAUUUUUCAAUUAAAACAUUAUCAUCAAUCCAAAAAUUUAAGCACAAGUUGACAAUAUAUAUGACAUCCUCAACUCAUUUAUGCAAAUAAUUUUUUUGGUAGAUGAAACAAACCCUUUAUUACAAAAUAAAUGUUAUCUUAACAUUCUCACUAUCAUCAAACUUCAAUUUAAAAUGGACUAUUUUUAACCAUAAAUGCAAGAGAAUAAUUUAUGCAAAAAAAAGGUAAAAGCUUAUGUUCAAGCAUGCUCUCUCCCCCUUGAGGUUGAGGUAGAUCCUCUACUAUUUUGAGAUGCUUGAGUCAUGAUUCUAGAUGGUAUCAGCAGAGCUUUUAACAGGUAAGAAAGAUCCAAUUUGUGUUUGGCUUGUACUCUGAGUAUAACAUUUUAAUGUGCAUGUUAAUUUAAUCAUAAUACUACAAGGUCAUAAAAUAAAAUAAAAUGGGCACUUACAUCAGGCAUCCAUUGGACUGUAAACAGAGGUUGGGGAUAUUGGGUGGCAGUAACUAUAGAUUGUUGUUGCUGGGAAGAUGAGGAAGCUUGAUUUUGUGAAUUCUUUCUCUUGACCUAUGCAUAAUGAAAUAAAUGAGAGACAUAUAAUACAAGUCAAAUACAUACAAUGAAUAUAAAAUAAAGUAAAAUGUAAGCAGUAUAACACACUGGUAAUUUUUCCUUAUAUUUUCAGAGGUGGUGUUGGCUUGAAGAAACCUCUUGUUAUGGCCUUUUUGUCCACAUAUGCUACAAGUCAUUUUCACUCCAUGUUUGGUUAUUUUAUGAGACAGUACAGAGGCAUUUUCUUUCUCUUUAGGUUCUUUUCUCCUCUUUUAUUGUUUCCUUCCUUUUUUUUUUUUUUCUUCAGGUAAUGGUGGUGGGAUGACAGGACGUCUUCCACUUUUAGACUACAUUUGUUUUCCAUUAAUUGGAUGAACAAUAUAACCAUAAAUCUACACAAAACAAAAAUGAUUGAAAGAUGAAUUAUACCAUUAAGUUAUAAAAAAAAUUAAAUAAAUAUUCGAUAACACACCUUCAAGUAAUUCUUUAUUAACAUUCAUCCACAAAUGAUCUAAUUUCUCAUGAUAGAUGCAAGCAAUAGCAUGUGGACAUAGGAACCCUGUUAGUUGCCAUUUUCUACAAAAGCAUUCAUAGGCUUCCAAGUCAACCACCAAUUGUGUAUUCGGAGGGUCCACCUCAUGCAUUAAAAAUGAAGGAUUUGGGCAAUGCACUUGAAAGCUUUUAGCACCAGACCAUUUAGGAGUACGGUUGAAUGAUUGUUCUUUGGCUUUAUCUAACUUCUUUUGGAUCUUAGGACCUAUGAGGCUAGAGUAUUUUUUUCAUGGCCUCUCUUUUUCACCCAUAACCUUCUCAUUAACUUACACCUAAUCAUCUCCAUCAUCAUGAGUAUUGGUUUAUUCCUAGCAUUUAGAAUGUAUUUAUUAAAACACUCACAUACAUUGUUAAGUAACAUGUUAGAUUUAACUCUACUCGAGAAGUAAGACCUAGACCAAUGCCUAAAUGGUCUUUCACACAACCAAUCAUGUGCAUGAGACGAAAGCCUAUUGAUCUUUCUCAUCCAUCUAUCAAAGUCAGCUACAAAAGUUGCCUUAGCAGCAUUCCAAAACAAGUCUUUUAAGAUUUUACCUUUAUGGCCCUCAUUAUCUCCAAAGUUGUUGUACAUGUGCCUAACACAACAUUUGUGCUCAGGCUUAGGAAACAUCUCUUCUAACGUUUACUCUUAGUCCCUAUAAGAUACAAUGAUAAAAAUAUUGAAAUUAAUAAGUGUAUUUAUUAAAAUAAAUAAACAUUCAAAUUAUAAGAGGAGCAUACCUUUUGUUUAUCAGGUAUAAAUGGCCAAUCAUAAUUGUUUUCAAUUCCAAUAUCCUCUGAUAAUAUUUUCAAAAACCAACCCCAACUUUCUUUAUCCUUUCUUUCAACCACAGCGUAAGCAAUUGAAAAUAUGCAAUCAUUUGGAUCAAAACCAAUAGCAACUAGCAUCUAUCCACCGUAUCUCCCUUUUAACCAAUACCCAUCCAGCUAAAAACCCAUCUUUACAAGCAUGAAAACAAACAUACAUUUUUUGAAAUAGUCUAUUGUCUAAACCCAAAAUGGUUCUACUCCCUGAAUUUGUCCUCAAAAUCUCCUCGCAGUAAUCUUGAAGGAUUGUAUAUUGUUCCUCAUCAGAACCCUAAAUCUUUCUAAGUGCGUAUUGCUUAGCUUUAUGUACAGUUAUCUUAGAGAUAUCUAACUGCAACUCUUGUCUUAGUUUGUUUUGCAAGCCACUUGCGGACCAAUUUGGAUCAGCCAUAAAAUCAUUCAAAUACUUCAUUCCAAGAAACUUGUAAUUAGCAAAUUUAUUCUCAUAUUCUUUGUUGCAUGUAUGAGUAUCAACAUAAGUUUUUAUCUGGACAAUGGACCCGUUUUUAUAAUGGCUAACCCAAAUCCUCCAAGGACAACCACUUUUGCAUUUUGCUUGACCCGAUACUUGUCAUUAGGAUCAAAUUUGAUUUUACAGUUAUUGAUAAUUGAAUAUUGAGUACAGGCUCACUACAGGGGUUUUGAUUUUUAGUGACGUUUUUUUAAUCAUUUAGUGGCGUUUAUUAACGUCACUAUAAGGUUGCGACAUUUGUGAAAAAACGUCACACAGAGUGUCGCCUAUACACGCGUCGCGGUAAAUAACGGCGUUUUCGAAAAAACACCUCAAUAUUAGCGGCGUUUAUAUGUGAAGCACCGUCAUUUUAGUGGCAUUUAUAUCUUAGAGACGUCAUUAUUUUCAGUGGUGUUUUUAUGAGAAAAAUGCCAUUCCAUUGAAAUCAUUUGUACCAAAAACGGUUGUUACUUUGCAUGACGUUUGAAUAUGAAAACGCCUCAAUAUUUAUGACGUUUGUAUCUUUUAGGCGCCACUAAUUCAGUGGGCAUUGUUAUGAGAAAAAUGCCAUUGCUUUAGUAAUGUUUCUAUAAAAAAUACCACUGAACUAGCGGCGUUUACUGGAAAGAGCACCGCUACUACUAGUAGCGUUUUAUGCUACAAACGUCACUAAAUUAUUCAUUUAGCGACAUUGGCCAACACAAACGCCACCAUUAUGCAAAAAUGUUUUUUUUUACAAUUUUUAUAAUAAAUUUUAUUUUCAAUAAAGAGUUUAAAUUCAGAAACUAAAAUUAAUAUUAACUUCAUUCACGUUUAAAUAUACACUUAAUUAAUACAAAGUUUAAUAAUUAGUAUAAUAACAUUCAAAUAUUGUAAAUACAUUACCUAAAUAAAAAAUUAAAAUGUAUGAAAUGGAUGACUACAUACAUUUUGUUGGCUCCCAAUUGAUGAAGAAAAUUUUUCACCUUGAUCACUAGCGUGCUCAACAACCUACUAAAUAAUACCAUACAAUUUUUAACACUUCAUUGUAUGCUUAUUUUUUAUUUAAAAAUUUUAAUAUUUAUUAAAUAUAAUACCUGAGUUGAUGGAGCACCAAGAUCAUUUCUUGAAAAUUGUUGUUGCAUAAAAUUCAUAAGAUGAUCGAAUCGAUCAUACAACUGCUAAAAAUUUAUAAGCUUUAGCUUCAUUCUAGUACGUUCUUCUUCAAUUUUGGCACGCUCCUGUUCUCUUUCUGCUUUCAUUUGCUGAAAAUGUUGUUGCAUAGUUUGCAACUCUUCUCUCAAUAUUGAAAUAUCUCGCGAAGACUGAUUUACUGAUAGUGUAAAUUACAUAGAGUUAUAUCCAUAGUAGGCAGAUGGUGUUGGACCCAAUCCAAGGCCUCGGACCCGUCCAUGCCUUUUUUUUUCAACAAUUUAUAUGAAUAUUCGAUUUUUCAUUUCUUGCAUGUUGAAAGAACCUUCAGAUGUUACUUCAAUCUCAGCGAUCAUUUUUUCUUUCGCUUUCUUUUGUGAAUUUGUCAUAUACAAUAAUCAAGUUUAAUGACUAAUUGAUUAUAUGUUAAAAACAGUUAAUAUUUACUUUAUGUUAAAAUAGAUGAUACAAAUUAUCACAAUUUCUUAUGUUUCGACAUUCAUGUAAGAUCCAUAUUUUUUUGUGUGUGUUACACGAAAAAGUUUCACACAUCCAAUUGUACUGUCCAUCUCAUUCUCCUAUACAAAAACAUAUAUUAUUUGAUAGGAUACAUAUCAACCGUAACUUAUUUAUGUAUAUCAAUCCUGUCAAUCAAGUAUUAAAAUUUUGAAUAACUUUAAUCUCUUUUAUUUAUAUUUUAGCUCUGUAACAACACAAUAGUCUUAAAUAUACAUAAAGAAUAAAUGCAUUUUAGACUUUUACACAUAUCGAUCAUAGAAACCAUAUUCAAUUAUUUUCUCUCGGUUUAAUAUAAAGGAUUGAAGUCAUUCAAUAUGUUGAAAGGCAUCCAAAAUUUAUUUGUAUAUUUACUUUUUAUAUGCAAAAAUAUUCCCAAACAGAGAUAACGAAUAACUUUUUCUCCCAUAUCCACCAUAGAAACCAAUUUCAAUCAAUUGGACAAGCUUAACAUCAAGUAUUGAAGGUAUCGAAACUAUUAAAAAUCAACAAUAACAACAACCAGAUAAUAAAGGCGUAAAUAUACGUAAACAAUAAUCUUUCAUACAUAUCAUCUGUGUAACUAAGUUCAAAACUUUUGAUAAGUUUAAUAUCAUGUAUUGAAACAAUCAAAUCUAUUAAAACAGAACAAUAAAUGUUAAUUUCCAUAUUUACCUUUCAACGGUAGAAAAAGUUCAUUAAUUAAAAUCAGUUAAUUAUCAUAAACUUACGAUUUCUUUUUACUUUCUACAAAACUUUUUGAUCAACUUGUGUGGCAUAUUUCUGUUGCUUUCUGCUACCAAUCCCAAUCUGUUAUCUUUCCUGUCAUAAAAAAUAAUUAUCUAUAUGAUAGAAAUACGAAUAUUAUCAACUUAAACCAUCAAACACUUUCAUCAUUUCAUUAUAAUAUACAAAGUUAUAAACUACUACCUUUCCUUUUCUUGAGAACUAAAAUCUAACCAGUUGUUCAUAUUAUCACCUAAUCACAUUACGGGAUAGAUUUUGCAUCAUCGCCUCUACAGUACUAUUUCGAUCGAAAUACUUAUUCUUCAAACUAUGCUUAUAAUCUUUUCAUUUCUUUCCCAAGGACUUAAGCACAUAUGAAGUUGGUAUUUCAAGUACAAAUCUUGACUGUAAUAAUACAAUAAGAAAAGUUUGAAUAAGUAAACAAAAUGUAAAAUAAAAAAUUUGAAUAUAUCUAAUUAAUUAUACUAAUACCAUAAUAAAGUUUAACGCAUCGGCCUUAACUUCUUCUGGAAUAUUAUGCCAUGUUUCAUAAUGAAUAGGUAAUUUCAUUCCAUUACGGGUUAACAUACCUAGAAAUCCAGUCAAUAGUUGAGCCUUUUCACCAAUUGGUUGUCUAUCAUAGUUUGCAAACAUUACAAUACGCUUGUUAGGAGGUAGUACAAAUAAUUCUUUCAAAGUUGUCCGACCUCUGGUCCUCCGUUGACCAUUAUUAUCAACUGCAACAAAUAUAUAAUAUAUUUGUAAAAUUGUAAUACUUUUAUGAUUAUACUCAAAUUCUAAAAUUGGUGUCUAUCAUACCUGCAUUCGAAUUUAAAGCAUAAUCAAUUGAUGGGGUACUAUUUAAAUCUGGACCUCCCGUAUUGCCUGAUCUAAUAUUAGUUGAAAGGUUAGAAGUGAUGGAGUUAGAUCUAACAGUACGUUUAUUUCCCUCAAAAAGAUUCAGUCCAUAGCCAAUAUCUACAGGUGCCGUAGAUGGUUCUGAACUAAUAUCUCUUAUAUGUUUUUCUUUCAACCUAUUUUUCCGUAUUGUAGCUUACCUACAUCAUAAAAAAGAAUAUAGAAAAAAUUUUAGUUUAAAAGAUAUAUAAAGACAUUUUUAAUUUAAGAAAUCAAGACCUACGAUAUAUAAAGAACAUAUCGAUUUAAUUAAAUCAAAAUGUAAUGAAUGAUUUAGAAGACAAUCAUUAAACAAUAGCGAAUGUGACAUUAUUUAGAUACUAUUAUUUACUACAUUAUGUCUUAAACACUCGAAUUACAAAUUAUAAGUGCACAGAAUCAUGGUUCGUAAAUGUCUUCAGUAACAUCUUCGCGAACCUACUGAACGUUGGUACUGGAGAUAUUCUCAUCCAAGUUUUGUUCAACAAAAGGAUAACAUUUAGUUUCAUGUUUAACAUCAUCUUUGGUAUCUAACCCCAUAUCAAAUAAGUUUCUAGGUGUGUUUCAAAGAACAACAAACCAACCCAAUUCUUUUGGAUCUUCAAAGUAAAAUAGUUGUUUGACUUGAGAUAAAAAUACAUAAGGUUCAUUGAUGAGGUGUUAUCCUGUGUGAAUUAAUCUAGAAAAGUUAACAAAUGAAAAUUCGUACUGAUUUUUCUUAAGACCCCUCUCAUUAUUUCCAUCUGCCCAAUCACACCGAAAUAAGAUAACUUUUCACUUGCCAUAUAAUCCAACUCAAUGAUGUCAUUAAUCAUGCCAUAAUAGUCAACAUUUUCUUUUAAAAGAUUUGUGUCCCUAGCACUAGCAUAGCUAGUAAUUGAUGAAGUCACAACAACUUUUAAAUUGUGUACUUCUAAAUUUCUCACGAGAUUUUAUGUGAAAUCUAAAUCCAUUGAUGAUGAAACCUUUGUAUCAUUUCACAAUUUGGUUCAGAUCGUGUGAAAGAUACUUCACCUCUUCACUAACAAGCCUUCCACUUCAAACCUAUAAAAGUGAAAUAAAUAUAUAUAUGUUAUUAAUGUUAUUUUUACCGUAAGCAUUCUAUGUAGAUAAAAAAUAAUAAAAAGUAUGACAUUACUUACAGUUGCUCUUAACCAUUCAUGAAAGUUUUCAACGAACAACUUAUCAACCGUUUGAGGGUUUGAUCGUCGAUAAUGUGCAGGAUCUCUCAAAUUAUUUUUAUACUCAUUAAAAAGUAUCAUGAUAAAGUAUUAAUACAAAAAAAAACACAAUAAAUAAUAUCUACUAUAAUGUAUAAUUUGCUUGCUAAACAACUUACGUGCGAAACGAUUCAAUUGAGUCAUGAUGAAAAAAAACAUAUUGAUGUGCUUGUGUCCAAGAUUUAUCAUCUAAUUCCACCAAUUCAGCUUUGCCUAUGGGUUAUCCAAAACUUUAAAAAAGAUAAUUGUAGGCCGAGUCUGUAUGCUGCAUUUCAACAUUUCUCGAAGGUCUAUUAAAUCUCAUUUCAACAUCUUUCAAAUAACGACAACAAAAUAUCAUACACUCUUUUGCUAAAUAUCAUUCAACAAUAAAAUCUUCUGGAUAGCGUUUGUUGCGAUAAUAAGACUUUAACUUCCCCAAAAACUUAUAGCAUAAAACAUUAGUCAUAUGUUAUUUUAAGCAGAUUGGCUUGAUAAUCAAUAAAUACGUAAUCAAUAUAUUAACAAAUAAUACUUUUCAAUAUGAUACAUCCAUUGAUAAUAAAUUAGCCCAUCGACCUUUGCUUCAUAUGGAAGAUGGAUAACCAAAUGCAUCAUAAUAGUAAAAAAGUUUGGAGGAAAGAUUUUAUCUAAAUGGCAUAAAGUGAUCGCGGCUUGAUCUUAAACUUUGUCAAGCUCUUCCACAUUCAUAUAUUUUUGACAUAGAGAUUUAAAUAUGUUACUCAAUUCAAUUACCACAGAAGUCACUUGCUUUGACAUUGAUGAGCGUAAAGCAAUUAGAAGUAAGUCUUACAUCAAAAUGUGAUAAUCAUGUAACUUCGAUGAUGAUAGUUUUUACGCUUUUAUAUUCACACAUCUUGAUAUAUUUGACGCAUAGCCAUCUGAAACUUUGAUAUUUUUUAAAACCUUACAAAACACAUCUUUUUCGAUUUUAAAAAUCCCAAAACAAGCAGCAAACAAUCAAUAUUUACCAUUAAGAAGCAACAUCGGAUGAAGGUCUGGGUAAAUCCCUAUAUCAACUAGGUCAAGUCGACUCUUUAAGUCAUUUUUGGAUCUUCUAUUCACAUUGAAAAUUAUCCCAAUAAAAUUUUCGUAAACAUUCUUCUCUAUGUGCAUGAAAUCAAGGUUAUGGCGUAAUAAAUUAUAUUCUCAAUAAAGUAACUAAAAAAAUAUACUUUUUUUUCACAACUCAUACUCAUUGGGGUCAUCUACUUCAUCAUCCUCUUCAUCACAUUGAACAUCAAGAUCACCAACUUCUAUAUGACUAUCACCAACAUGCGUAAUACGAGACCAGACACUUUCAAAGAUGUCCCUCACUCUUUUUUUUAUGGAGUCAUUUUUUCAUAUGUGAAAUUGAUAUCUUUUAACUUUGACAAGAUAGGAGACCCACUAAUGGGUAAAGACGAUCUCCUCAACUCUUUAGUUUCAUCAAAGAGAUAUUUUUGAAAUCUAAAUCGAUGAUUAUUAUAUAACCAUCGAUGAUGUCCCAUAUAACAGAACUUCCUAUCAUUACGUAACCACAUCCAACAUGUCUGUGCAGCAUAAUAUGAACAAGCAUAAUGACCUUUUAUACUCUAACAAGAUAAAUUCGUAUAAGCAAAAAAAUCGUUGAUAGUCUAUAACAAAACAGCACGCAUAUUGAAGUUCUCUGCAUUUGAUGCAUCAUAGGUAUCAACUCUUUCUCAUAAUUACUUUAACUCUUUAAUAAGAGAUUAUAAGUAGAUGUCUAUAUGAUUAUCCAAACCUUUUUUUUUAGGAAUUAUCAUAAAUAAUAUAAAUGAUUAUUGGUUCAUAACAAUCCAUGAUGGUAAAUUAUAAGGAAUCAAUAUGAUUAGUCAAGUACUAUAAGAAGUACUCAUCAUUUAGAACAGAUUGAAUCCAUCAAAUGCCAAUCCAAGCAUAACAUUUUGAGGAUCAGAUGCAAAGUCUGAAAACCUAGAAUGAAAUAACUUUCAUGCCAAAGAAUCUGCAAUAUGCCUUAAUGAUCCAUCACCCGUCCUUUUUUUAUGAUGUUACCUCAUUGAAUCUACAAUUUUAAAAGACAUGUAGAGUCAUUGUAGUCUUGGUAUUAAUGGAAAAUAGCAUAAAACCUUAACAAGCUUUUUUUUGACAUAUACCUCAUCACUAUCAUUAUUCAACCUUUUAUCGAGGUUUCGGUCGACCCAACUAGAAAUACCACAUAAAUGACAAGAUUUUUUAUUUUUUCUAUCUCCCCAAUACAACAUGCAAUCAUUAGGACAACUAUGAAUUUUUUCAUAUCCGAGACCUAAAUUCUUGAUUAUCUUCUUUGAUUUCUUACAAGAUUCAAAGAUUUUACAAAAAAGAAAUAUUUCUUUCAUAAACUGUAAUAAUAAAGUUAGAGAGUUUUUCAUCUAUUCACAUAAGCAUUUCAAGUGAAAAAGACAAACACAAAAAGAUAAUCUUGAAUGCUUCGAUCCCUCAAAAAGUUUUUCAUUCAUCUCCUCAAACAACCUAUAGAACUUUGAUGUUUCUCCUCUAGGUUGUUAGUCACGUACACUUAUCCCAGGUUCACCAAAUUCAUGCAUUUCAAUAUUGGAUUGAUUAAAUCCUUCAUUUUCAUAAAAAAGAUUACAAAAAUUUUGGUUAUGAAUGUUAAAAGCAUCUCACAACAUGCCUUCAAUGUCAUCUGCUAUAAAGGGAUCGUAUUGGUGAUGGAGAGCCUUUGAUGUUGAAGAAACUAUAGUGGAAGACCUUAAUGGUACAAAGUCUCCAUGCAAAUACCAAUUAACAUAUCCCAAUAGAAAUUCAAUACAAAUUAAAUGCUUAUAAACAACUUGACGCAUAUUAGCACAUUUCACAUAUGGGCAUAAUAUCAUGUUAUCUUUACUUGUAUUCUCAAAUAUAAAAUUAAGAAAAUUUUUCACUCCAUCUCUGUACUCUUUACUUAAUCUAGACUUUUGCAUCCAACUUUUAUCCAUUUAUUAGUUGCUACAUAAUCAGACCAAAUGUAUAGAAACAAUUAAUAUGAAAACGAACAUGUACAAUUGCAUAGCUUAUUAUGUUUUAAACAAAAGAUAAUAACAAGACAGUACUUACACAAAACGAUAACUUCUUGCUGUGAAGUAAUUUAUUAGCUAUCAAAUAUUAUGAUUAUUAAAACUCUACUGCUAACGUAGACAGUACCUAAGAGUAUAUGGUAUUGGGGUUGACAUAAGGUGAAAUAAGGUGGGUUUUAUGGAAAAUUUUUUCAUGAAAAAAAAAUCGUGAUUUGCAAGAGCUGAAGAAAUAGUCGAAUUAAGUAAAAGCUAAAGUCAAUAAGUUAUUAAUAGUCGAAAUAGGAUUCUAAAAGAUAAUGCUCGAAUACUAAAAGUCGAAGAAAAGGAAAAGUAAAUUGUGCUUGGUCUAAAAAGAUAUAAUGAUGAAGAUAAAGCUUGAAGUUGGUGAUUGGAUGCGCUAAGUUUGGGAAGAUUUUUAUUGGACAUGAUUAUAGAAGGCGUUUACUAACAAAAAAUACCAACAAUAAUUGCCUCUUAAAUAUUUUUUGAAUAUAUUAUAGGCGUUUUGAACAUAUCACCAUAAAAUUUCAACACUAUUAUUGAAGGCGUAUAUCCAAGAAAUACACCUUUAAUAAAUCAUAUCACAGUUUAUGGUUAAUUACUGAAGGCGAUUGCAGAAAACAACGCCUUAAAAAUUUCAGUAAAAAAAAUUUCAUUGAUUAUUAAAGGCGUCAUUUAUUAUGACACGCCUUCAAUAUACUACGAUGGUAAUGGAAUGCGUUUAUUUGAAUAGACACCUUCAAUAUAUCUUUAAACUUAGUAAUCCAUUACAUAAGGCAUUUGUUAGAAACAGACGACUUCAAAAUUUUUUCACUAAAUAUUUUGAGAAUUAUUAAAGGUGUCUUCUACUGUAAAAUACCUUUUAUAUACCACUACACAUAUUGUAACACUGUUAUUAAAUGCAUAUAUUUAAGAUAGAUGCCUUUAAUAAUUCCUAUCACAGUUUGUAUAUAAUUACUGAAGACGGUUUCAGAUAACAAUGCUUUCAAUAAUUUUUCUAAUAAAAGUUUUCAUGAUUAUUAAAGGCAUAUUUUAUUAUAAGCCACCUUUAAUAUACCAUGAUGGUAAUCGAAGGCGUUUAUUAGAAAGGGCACCUUCAAUUACUAAAGGCGUUUGUUAAUAACAGAUGCCUUCAAAAUUUUUUCACUAAAUAUUUUAAAAAUUAUUAAAGGUGUCUUCUAUUGUAAAAUACCUUCUAUAUACCGCUACAUAUAUUGUACUGUUAUUAAAGGUGUAUAUUUAAGAUAGACGCCUUUAAUAAUUCCUAUCAUAAUUUGUAUAUAAUUACUGAAGGCGAUUUUAUAUAACAACACCUUCAAUAAUUUUUCUAAUAAAAGUUUUCAUGAUUAUUAAAGGCGUCUUUUAUUAUAAACUGCCUUCAAUUAAUCGAAGUCAUUUAUUAGAAAAGGCACCUUUAAUUACUGAAGGUGUUUGUUAAUAACAAACGCCUUCAAAAUUUUCUUACUAAAUAUUUUAAAAAUUAUUAAAGGCAUCUUUUACUGUAAAAUACCUUUUAUAUACUGCUACACAUAUUAUAACACUAUUAUUGAAGGCGUAUAUUUAAGAUAGAUGUCUUUAAUAAUUUUUAUCAUAGUUUGUAUAUAAUUACUGAAGGCAGUUUCAGAUAAUAAUACCUUCAAUAUUUUCUCAAAAAAAUUUUCUCGAAUUAUUAAAUGCAUAUUUAAUUAUAAGCCGCCUUCAAUAAUUUGUUAUAAAUUUUGGAAAUCCAUACUUAUUGAAGGCUGGUUUUUUUUCUAAAAAUGCCUUUUAUAAUUUUUAAAAUUUAGAAAAGGUGUUUUUUUUUAUAUAAAAAUCACCUUUAAUAAGUUUGGUGCAUAAUUUUAAAGGCUUAUAAUUAAAGGCAUUUUUUUUUUAUAAGAAACGCCUUUUAUAAUCUCCAAUAAAAUUUUCAAGUGAUUAUUGAAGACGUUGUUCCAUGGAAAUGCCUUUAUUAAUUAAUUUUAUAUUCAUUUCCCUACCUUGAACAUAGGAAGUUGUAGAGUCUUGGUACAUAUAAAGAUUAUAAGCUGCGUUAUUCUACCAAAUAAAUCAAACCCUUAAACACAUUUCUACCAGACCAUUGCUUUCUUUCUUCAAUUUCUCACCUCUAACCUUUAACAAAUCACCACUACGAACCUCUGUUUUAAGUUGGUAAGUAUUUUUUUUUUAGUUUACUAUAUUAUUUAUGCCUUCAAUAGAUAAUUUUUAUUUUUUCAUUUCUUUAAUAUUGGCAUAUGCAUUUAUAUAUUUUCAUUAAUAUUGGUAAAUAUGCUAUUUUUAUGUAGUACGCAUUCCUCUAGGUUGUGGUUUGCUGAACCUUGUUGACUGAUAUUGUAUUAUCGAAUGAUAUUGUAUGAUAGUAGGGGUCUGAAUAAUAUUUCAUGCUGAAUGGUUUGCUGAACUUGUUGUCUGAUAUUAUUUUAUUGAAUGGGUUUGAAUGAGGGCUGAAUGGUGUUUCUGAGUGAUUUGCUGAAGGGUGUGUAUGAGCACAUUGUUGAAUGAUGUGUUAAAUAAUGUUUCUAUUCUCAGUAUGGUAUUGGUUGUAUUAAAUUAAGUACAAUGAUCAAUUUAGAAGGUCAUAUUAUGUAAUUCGUAUAAUUAUGAUCAAUAUUACAGGUAAUAUGAACUCUGAAUAACAUUAUUCUCCUUUUAAUGAACAUGCAAAAGAAAGAAGUGUAGGUCAAAAAAGAAAGAGAAUGGACCCAAAUAAACAAAUCAAACUGACUGAUAGUAAAAUUCAUUUUGACUUUAAUCAAAGUGGGCAGCCUGUAUCAGAAGGAGCUGCCAAUAUGGCUACUCAUAUUAGAGCCAUCGUCCGUAGGAGAAUUUCAAUUAACAACACCAAUUGGUGAUGAGUUUCUGAUGAUCUAAAAGAUGAGAUAUGACAGUCCGUUAUGAUAUGUUUAUGUAACUAUUUCGUAAACAUUGUUAUAUGGUCAUUUAAAUGAAAUUCAAUGUAUUGAUACUAUUUAUGUUAACUUAUUUAGGAACGGUUCGAAGUCCCAAUUGAGUGUAAAAAGAUUGUAUUACAAUCUACUGAAAAAGCUUUCAGAGACUUUAAAAGCAGAUUGACAACCCAAUAUAUUUUACCGAUGGCUGGUGAAGGUGAUGUUUUGGUUGUUCCACUUAUGGCAUAUACAGUGUUAUAAGUGUAGAAGAUUGGAUAAAUUUUAUUCAAUAUCAACUUUCAGAAGAUUUCUCGAUACACAAACUCAUUACCAAAUUAAAAUCAAGUUUAUAAGUCUUUAUGCAAUAUAGCCUUUGAUUUUCAUAUGUGAUUGACGUAAUUUCUUCAUUUUAUAGAAAAUCAAAGAACAAUAUCGAGACAUUCGGGCCAAACAAAAAUAUCACCAUCGGACAGUAAGAAAAGGAUAUGCAACUGUGAAGUAUGAGCUUGUAUGUCUUCGCACACUUGUUUUAUACUAAUUAAUGAAUAUUUAUGAAUAUUAAUUUCAUAUAUUCUGAUUCUUUUAUUGCGAUAAUUUAAUAGGAAUUAGUAAGCUCAAACACAGAAGUUUUCAAAUGGGAUGUCUAAAAACAAGGACAUCUUCGAAGGAUGGAUCCUUCGUAGAUGAAGCAACCGAGGAACUAGCAAAAAAGAUUGUAUGUAUAACUGCUUUUUUGCUAUAAUGUAUGAUUAGCAAUGUGAUUGUAUACAUGAGUGUAUACUAGCUUGUGUAGAUUUAUUCUGACAGUCUAACUUAUUAUUAUCUUUCAAGAUGAUUAUGCUGCCAAAGUAAAAUUUGGUGAAUUGGCAACCCAAAGUAAAAUCUGCUAAAGAAAGGCCUGGUCGAGUUCGUGGGGUUGGUAAAUUUGUCUUGCCAUCAAAGUAUUUUGGUAAACAAGCAAAAACCUCACGAAUGAGAAAUGUAGAAUAUGAAGCAAUAAUUUCACAGCAACAACAACAAAUUAAUGACCAAGAGCAAUGCCUCAAUGACCAACGACAAAGACUAGUUACUUUGAAGUCUAUAUUGGUAGCAAUACAGUAGGUAAUGCUAGUACCCCAGCCUAAUAGCAUCAUCCCCGUGCGAGAAGCUGUCGAUGUAAGUAACGAAGUGAUCUCAUCAUCUGUUACCACCCAAGAAGUAAGAUUUUUGUUAUAAUUUGAAUAUUAAUUUGAUUAUAAUAUUGAAUGAUUUGGUUUUAAUACUUAUAGAUAAGUUUAAUAUUGUAGGAUGAUGUUCAGCCUCAACGUCUGACCCUUACUCAAGCUUCCAUGGAUGAGUUAACAAAAUAUUCAUUGGACAAAUGUAUCGGUGAAAACUUCAUAUCCAUUGAGGCUGAGGAAGACUUAUUUGAUAAACAAUCAUUUUCUUUUAUUGGUAUGGAUGAGGUGAAAGAAUUUUGUGAAAUGGAUGAAUUAUCAGUUGCUGAAAUCGUUACUUAUAUAAGAUAAGCUUAAAAAUACAAAUAUACAAAUUCAAUAUGUAGUAAGUUAGUAUUAGGGUGUAAUAUUAACCAGCAGUGUUGAUUGUUAUAGUGUAGCUUCUUAUAAAGAGAGCUGAAGGGGAGACAGUUGACGAACAGAUUUCGAUUCAUUGACCCCAACUUCAUUAGUGAGUAGAGUGGCAUAGUCAUGUAUCGUGCUAAUCAUGUGAUCCAAUGCAUGAAAAGAUCAAUUGAUUAUUAUUUGCUCCCGUAUAAUGUGCAGUAAACUAUAUUCAAACCUUAAUUACUUCAACCUACUCCAUUCUAUGAUCUGAUGUUUAUUCUGAGUAUAUCAUUGUUAUUAUUUUACAGUCGUCAUUGGGUGCUUAUUGUGAUUGACACAAAAUCCUUAACACCAUACCUUCUUAAUUCAGUUAAUCUAACAUGGAUGCCUAACCCCGAUAUUGAAACUUUUAUAAAGAGGUAUUACUAUACUUUAUUAUAUUACACAUGUUUUGUUUCUUUAUAUUGUAAUUUUUUUUAAGUUCCCACUAAUUUUUUUUUCAAUUUAGGGUAAUAUUUGCAUUCAAUAAGAAGAUAAAGAAACUGAAAUGGGUGUCAUGACCGAUAAAUGUCAAAUUUAUUCUUUUAAUGCUGAGUUUGUAUAGAUAAUUAUUUUUUAAAUUGACUCAAUUUAAUUUUCAGGUUCUUCGUCAACCCGAUAAUACUGAAUGUGAAUAUUAUGUCCUUCAUUUUAUGCGAAAGAUUGUGUUACAUGAUUUUAUGACCACACCACUCAAGGUUAGUAUAAAUUUCAUAAACUUGUUAUAUAUUCAAAAAAUAAAAUGGUACAUUAUGUUCUCAUUUCUUAACAUUUACUUAUGAUUUUUUUUAGUGGAAGGGUAAAAAAAGCUUCACAGAAGAGGAGCUGGAUGAAGUCUGUAAAAAAUGGUGUGAUUAUGUAUUGUCAUUUAUCAAUGUUGAUAAACCUUCAGGUUAGACAUUGUUGGUUGAUUGUAAAUAUAUAUGGAACAAAUUGUUAUAAAGUUGUUAACAUGCAAUGUUGAAUGAAAACUUUAAGUUUGUACAUUGGGACCAGAUAUUAGUUUAAUAUUAUUGAUAUACUUAAUAUGAAUACACUAUGUGUAAUUAUUAAAUUACUGAGUACGAUUAUUUCAGAAAAGUAUAUUAAUAUGGCAACGUUAUCAGUUUUAAUUUCGGAUAUAUGGUAAAUUUUUUUGGAAUACAACAAUGUUCAUUAUACAAAUUUCAAAAUGUAAUUCAUAGUAUCAGAUAUAUAAACCAAAUAUUUUUUAGGUAUAAAUAUACAACUGAUAGCAAACAUUUUUCUGGGCAUAAAUGUACACUGACUUCACAUAUCAAUUAUAUUUAUUUGAUGCAAUUAAUGAAGGCAUUUUUAGUAAGAAAACGCCUUCAUUUACCUCUACAAAAAAUAUUGAAGGCGUUUUUUUACCAAAAUCGCCUUCAAUAAUCCCCCUAGAAAAUUAUUAUCUGAAAUGUUAAAGGCAUUUUGGGCAAAAAAUGCCUUCAAUAAUACCAACUAAAAAUAAAUCGAAUGGAUUAUGAACGGCAUUUUCCUACGGGUAAUGUCUUCAAUAAUCCCAACAAAAAGUUAUGAAGGCGUUUUUGGAUAUAGCCGUCUUCAAUAAUCCUACCAUUAAAAAUUAUUCCUGCGAAUAUUAAAGGCGUUAACCCAUCCAAAUUUUGUCUAUGAAAUAUUGAAGCGUUUAUUAUAAAACCACUUUUAAAAAUUCAAAACAAAUUUAUUGGAUUAUAAAAGACGAGUUCGACAAAAAAAGCCUUCAAUAAUCGACCUUAUAUUUUUUCUAUCGAUUAUUAAGGGCGUCUCUAAACAAAAAACGCAUUCAAUAUUCUAUGAUAAAUUUUUUAAAGCAAUUGGUGAAGGCAUUUAUGCCAAGAAAAUGCCUAAAAUAAUCAAUACCAAAUAAUAUGUGCCUAAACCCAAAAAAAGCUUGAAAGACGGAUCGAACCAAUAAUCUUAUGGUAAUUAAACAUCCGUACGAUCCUAACAAUUUGAUAAGUUUAAUAUUGGUUGAGUUUUUGAAGAAAAUAAAUUUAAUAAGACUAAAGAAAUUUUUGGUCUAAAUAUUAAUGUCGUUUCUUGUAGACAACGUCUUCUUUAAUCUCAUACAAUUUUUUAUGACGUGAUUAUUGAAGGUGUUAUCUAUCAAAAAUACGCUUUAACUAUUCAUCGAAACUUUUAAUGAAAAAUAUUCAAGGUGAUUUAGUCGAGAAGUGCCCCUAAUAUCAAGUCUUCGGUGGCAUUUAUAAGUAACAAUGCCACUAUUUGAAUAUUUAGUGGCAUUUAGAUAAUAAAUGUCUGAAGUUUUGUAAAAACACGGAAGCUAGCGGUGUUUGUAAGUGAAAGGCCACUACAAAACUGUCGCUAAUACACCAUUUUGCUAAAAUGGCUACUUUAAACUCUUCAAAUGAUUUAAACAACAUUCCCUUUUUAAACUUAAGAUUACUCAUAUCCAUAUAAACAUUAAACUCAGGUCAUCUCACCUUCUUUUUAUCAAUAUCAUCGUUACUGAAACUACCAUUAUGCAACUCAUUAGAAGAGGAAUACUUUGAAAAUAUUUCUUAUAUUUCUUUUUAGAUACUAACAUGAGAUUUUUUUAAUUGGUUCAUGUCUUUCUCAAUUCCACUGUCUACAAAAACCUGAGACAAAUCAUCAUUAUUCUCUAAUAUGUCAUUGUCACUAUCUCAUGAAAGUCACUAUCAUCAUUGUCACCAUCUUCUUCCUCACCAUUUUCACCAUUUUCCCCUUAUAAUUUUCUCCAUUUUCAUCUUCAUUCAAUUAUUCGAUCGCAACACUAAAAUUACAAGGCUUAUUUCCUCCAGCCAUCUUUAACCAUGUUUUACAUAUAUCUCAACCAUAUUUUCUCGAGGAACAUGAGCACCACUUUCAAGCACAUCAUUAUCAGACUUUAUUUCUCUCAAUCCCUCACUCAAUUUUUUAAUUGGAAUCCUCCAAAAGUAAGUCUUUAAAUUAGAAUAUCCUAAUUUCUCCACUACAUCAUCAAAGUCUAAAAUAGACAAUUCAUCAAUCUUACAAUUGUCUACAAAUUUCACGUCCCCAACAUAAUAAACCAACUCUUUUUGUAUGAAAAAUAAUUCACCCCUGUGAUGGAUUUCUAAGGUAAAAACAUUAUAAUUUUCUUGUUUCCCUACAUGUUUAGAAAAAAUAAAUAAUGCUAAACAAGUACUCAUCCAAUUUUAAUGAAAAAAAAUCAAUGUUAGAUUAAUAAAUUAAAUACACCACACAAUUCCAUCAAAUAUUUAAAAAAAAAAACUUAAAACUACGGUAUUUUUUGAAUAAAAAAAAUUAAGAUUGAAGAUUUCAAAGAAUAAACUAAUGGCCAUUGAAAACAGACAUACAUAGAUCAUAUAAAACCCAUGAAAGCCAUAUCAAAUAGAAGCAUGAACUCAUUUUUUACUGCAACACAACACAAAACAAUAAUAAUAGUGAUAAAAAAACUAAAUAAAAUCUACAAAAUAACUUUCUAACCUCUAACAUUAGACUUUCUUCUCCUUGGUUCCAUUACAAUCAAUUGAUUGUUGGGAUUUACCUUGAAUCCCAUAAUCCCACAUUGAAAGUUAUGAGUUUGAGUUUAUCUUGUGUCAUACAUUAGUAGUUUAUAUAUGUAUAAGGGGUUUCACCCUUAUAAAUAAAAUAUUUUGGUUUUAGUUUGAUAAUUUUAAAUAGUUAGACACCAAGAGAAUAGCUAGGUGAGUAGGCUAUUAAAAUGGUAUAAUUGGGUUUUAGGUUAAGUUUUGAGGAAGGAAUUUUUGGUAACUUUUCUCAUUCUAAAAGUCUCUUAAUUGUAAAGAUCUAUUUGAUAGUGGAUUAGAUUUGGGGUAGGCCAUUUUGAGUUGGGUCGAAAUAAAUAUAUUUAUAUGUUUUUAUUCUUGAUUUGAGUUUAUUAUUUUGUUCGUGUGCUCUACGUGUAUGUGUUGAUUUCCUAACAAGUGAUAUUAGAGCAAUGUUUGAAGUUUUGUUUGUGUGCUAUUUUGUUCAUGUGCUCUACGUGUACGUGUUGAUUUCCUAACAAGUGGUAUUAGAGCAAUGUUCAAGGUUUAAGGUUCGUGAGAAGAAGAGGCAGGCCUAAGAGAUCGUGAAGCAAGUAUUUUAAGAUGUCUGAAGAAAGUAUAUCUAGUAUGCCUAUGUCUAAGUUUGAGAUUCUAUUAUUUGAUGAAAAGAGUAAUUUUAUGUUAUAAUAAAGUACAAUUUAAGAUUUGUUAGUACAACAAAGAUUGGAUCAGACAGUAGAGAGUAAUAAGCUUGAGAGAAUGUUUAACAAUUGUUGAAAUAAAAUUUAAAAGAAAACUGUUAGUACUAUUGAUUGAUGCUAACCCUAGAGGUAAAGUACAAUGUGUUGACUGAAAGUACUUCAAAGAGUUUGUGGUAUAAGCUUAAAGGUAUUUAUGCAUCAAAGUCGUUGACUAACAUAUUAUGUUUGAAGAUGAAUCUAUAUUCUCUAAAGAUGAAAUAAAGUACGAGUCUUCAUAAUCACCUGAAUAUGUUUAAUAGAUUGGUUUCUCAAUUGCUGAUGAUUUUUGUUAAUGAGUUAAAAGAUGAAGAAAAGGCUUUAAUUUUGCUAUCAUUUUUGCCCAAGUUUUAUAGGUCUUUAGUUCAGACUUUGUUAGUAGGUAGGUCUACUUUGAAGUUUGAUAAUGUAACUGCCCUGUUGCGUAAGAAAAAAAGGUUUAUGAGAACUUAGAACUCAUCACCUAGAAGAGUACACUAGCUAUAUAGGGUUUUGAUCGAGAAAGGACUUAAAAAAAAUUAAUGGAUCAAGAGAAAGAUUCAAGUCAAGAGACAGAGAUUAUAAUGACAUAGAAUGUUAUUAUUUUGAUAAAAAGGGAUAAUCCAAACGCUACAAGAAGCAAAUAAGAGAUAUAACUGCUUUCAAAAAGAUAAAUGAUGAAAAGAAAUCAGAUGCAAAAAAGAGUGAUACUACUACUAUUAUGUUUAAUGAUGAUGAUGUCAUUUUGAUGACUUGUGUAGAUGAGACUCUGACUUUGAAAGGUGAUAAAGGCUGGAUUUUAGAUUCAGCUACUACAGUCCAUGUUUGCAAUGAUAGGAGUUACUUUAUGAAGUUGGAUGAAAAUGAGAAAUAUGGAGAUAUUGUGAUUGCUAACAACGAAAAGGUGCAGAUUCAAGGUAUUGAGAGUGUUUGCUUUAGAUCUCAUAAUGGUGUUGUUAUGACACUUCAUCAUGUAAGGUAAUAUCGAGUUGUAGCUACGAUUUAAUUGCUUUAGGUGAGUUAGCUUUUCGGAAGUCCACAUACUAUGAUAAUAAUGAUUCAUUGAAAGGGUACAAGAAUGGUAGUGUGAUUCUACAAGGAAAUAUGGUUAAAAAUUACUUGUACAUACUUGAUAGAGGUUCAGUUGUUGGGAUUCUUGUGAUGAAAAAAAAUAAUAAAGGCAAACGUAUCAAUUUUGCAAAUAUUGUUGAAGUAUUUGAAGAUUCAAGUCAAUAGAGGAUUUAUUAAGAUUUACCUUAAAUCUCAUAAUCCCAUAUUGAAAGUUAUGAGAUUGAGUUUGUCUUAUAUCCCAUAUUAGGAGUUUAGUAAAGGUAUAAGGAGUUUCACCCUUAUAAAUAAAAUAUUUUGGUUUUAGCUUAGUAAUCCCAAAUAGUUAGACACCAAGAGAAUAGCUAGGUGAGUAGGCCUUUAAAAUGGUGUAAUUGGAUUUUGGGUUAAGUUUUGAGUAAAGAGUUUUUGGUGACUUUUUUCAUUCUAAAAGUUUCUUAGUUGUAAAGAUUUAUUUAAUAGUGGAUUAGGUUUGGAGUAGGCUAUUUUAAGUUGAGCCGAAACAAAUAUAUUUGUGUGUUCUUAUUCUUGAUUUGAGUUUACUAUUUUGUUUGUGUGUGCUAUUUGUGCAUGUUGAUUUCUCAACAUUGAUCAUUAUCAUAACUCACCCAUGGUAGUCAAUCCUUUUCACUCAAACCAUAAAUGUAAAUAAAGAACAAAAUCAAAAGAGAGGAAGGAAAAUGGAAGCCAAGAAAAAAAAUGGAAAUGUUUGGGCUAAUGAUUGUGGUUUAAUUAAAAAAAAGAAUAAAAAAAGAGAAACAUUAUAUUUUGACAUGGAUUUUUUUAUUACUUAACAAUUUAUGUAGCAACUUCUGUAGUAGCCAUGUUAUUUUUCUAUUAGUGAUUUGGAUGAAACCUGUUAAGUGACCAAAUUUAGUACACUUAACAAAUUUCAAUAAUUUUAUUGGGAUAAAUUAAAAUUCAAUGACAAAUUUGAGAAUGUAAUGAUAGUUCAUUGACUAUCCUUGAAAUUACUCCACAGAUUUUGGAAGUAGAUCACCUUCACUAAUAAAAGGUGCAUGUAGGUAUGUUGAAGUAAGUUAUCUUAUAUCUAAUAAAUUUUUAAUAUCUUGUAAUCUUAUAUUUAGGUUGGAUCCUCCACUUACUGUUAAUUGGUUUUAAGUUGGAUGCUUGACAUAGUACAGAGUCAAGAUUUUUUUUUUUUUUGUUGACCUUUCUUAAUUUGUUACGUGGAAGGCUUCUUUCAUCUUUGCCUACACGUGAUGAAAACCUAUUAAAAUAGGUUAUCUCACCAAUAUCCUAUAGUCUUAUAUUCAGGUUGAGCACCUUUACUUAUUGCUAAUUAAUUUUAAGUAGAAUAUUUAACAAGGUCUAAUGAGAAAGAAUGGUAUGAAAUCAUUACUUAUCUUUCUGUCAAAAUUUCAAAUAUAUCUAUACAAUCUAUGCAAUUUAUAUAAUAAAACAUUUCAAAUUUAUCUAUACAGUCUAUGCAAUUUAUAUAAUAAAACAAAAGUAAUCCCUUUCAAAAUGGUUAUAAUAUUUUUUAAUUACUUAAUAAUUGAAUGAUAGAUAUUUAAAUUGAUUGUAAUUUUUUUUUAUAAUCAAUCAAAAUUGUUAUAAUAAUUCUCUUCUCAUAAUGUUUAAAAUAUCUUAGUUAUUGUAAUUGAUCAAAAUUAUUAUAAUAUUUUUUAUUUUAAUUAUGUAAAUACUCUUCUAUCAUUAUUAAUUAAAAUCAUUAUAAUAUCCACCUAUCAUAAUUACGAAAAUACUUUUUCUAUUUUAUUAAAAUUGUUGGUUUUUUUAUUUAAAAAAUUAAGUUAAAUAAGUGAUGAUAUUAGGAGUUUUUUAUUUCAUGAGUUAAUAGAUUUAAAUUUAAUAAUUAAUCAAUAUUGGUAAUAGUUAAAUAUUGUAUUGGUAUGUUAAUUGUCAUAUAUGUAUUAUUAGAUUUGGCUUUAAUCUAUAUAAUUAUUUUAAAGUAGUCUCUCUUAUUUAAAAUAAAAAUCAACACAUAUCCAAUUGUAAUUAAAUAACACAAUUAGAGCAUCAAUUUUUUUAUUUUUUAAAAAAUUAUAUUUUCUAAAAAUAAAAAACUAACAAACACUAAAAAUAUAUUUAAUAUUUAAUUUAUUAUUAAAUUAAAAAAUUUAUACUUCAUCAAAAUAAAAAAAAUUACAAGUCAAUUGUAACCAUAUAAUUUUUCUAGUAUAUAUAUAAUUAUAAUGUUUCUUUAUACUUGUAAACCAAACGAAGGCAUUAGUGAUAGAAAGUAAAAUGCAAAUUGGUUUAUUUUUUAUUUGAGUAUCAAAAAUUAAAAUUUAAUAUUAAAAUUAACAAUUUAACAUUUUAUAAAUUAUAUUAAAUUGAUUUGAUAAAUAUGAUAAAUAUUAUUUUUUUUGUUAUUAUAUCAUCAAAUUUUUUUAAAAAAAUGCAUAGGUAAAAUGUGCGAAGUUAUUUACACAACAGUAAAUAACUUGUUAUCAUAAUUGCUAAGCACUUGGCAUGUGCUGUAGUUUAUUUUCAUUUUCUUAUUCAUUAAUUAAUGUUAAAUAUUUAAGAAAAUAGCCUAUUUUUUCAUAUUUAAUUUUUUUACAAAGUUGGAGAUCAUAAAGAUAAAAUAAUGAGUUAUAAAUGCUAGAAUUAAAAAUUCAAAUUUUUUUAUAUUUAAUUUGACUUAAAAGAAUUGCUAUGCUAUUAAUGAUUCUUUUCUGAUUUCUAUAUUCACCUCUAUCAAUGAGGUUUGAGAUUUUUUAGGUGUUCGUAUUAAUCCUUCUGUAAAUCAUUCUGAUGAAGUAUAUUCUGAUAAUGACAUUGGUAGUGUCUCAACAAUAAAUGAGAGUGUCCUCCCACAAAUUUUCAUAACAAAACCAACAGUUGAAAUUCUAUAUGACAAUCGAGAAGUUUACAACCCAAAACCUAUGAAUAGUGACCAACAACAACUUCGUCCUUUUUAAGCCUAAAAUUCCGCAUCCUCAUCCAAAUUUUUAAUGUUCACAAUUGAUGACAUUCUUCCUUCUAAAUGACCUUCAAGAUUUUAAAAAUUCUUAGCACGGAGAUUUGUUGAAUUACAUUCCAAUCCCAAUGUUAUGAUGAAUAUGGUUUUAAUAAGAUUUGUCUCAAGACUAGUUGAAACACUUUAAAACUUUUGAGAUAGUAUUAGUAAAUACAGAUAUUUACAGAUUCUUUAAUGCCUAAUAAUUACAAAAGUUGUAUCUCAAUUUUCAAUAAUAUUCUAUAGACAAGAAGCUCAUUGAAUGGAUAAGAUCAAAGAAUAAUUUUUCAAGUUAAAAUGCUAUUCACUCUAUCUAAAAGAUCUUGACAAACACUACUAAUAGUUUUUUUAAUACUUUUAUCUCCUUGGUUGUUUAGAUGAUGUUAAUCUGAAACAAGUUUUCCUCAAUUCUAUUCAAGAAGAACUUGCUCAGUAGAUAAUGACUUAACUUAAUCUUAGAUCUCUUAAUUUGAAAACUAUGAACCUUGGUGAUAUUUACAAGGUUAUGAUAAGAGCCUUUGCCAAGAUUUGCAAAAAGCACAAAUAUAUUGCAAACUUGGUGAAUAACUCUAGAAAGAUGGAUGGACCAUGCUCUUAUUCUUUAGUUGGUUUACAGAUUAAAUGUUCUUCUAAAAACUUCUCAUGUCUUUACCAUUAGAAGAAAAAAAAAUUUUCAAAAAGUUCAAUGUGACAAGACAUCCAAAAAAUUCCCAGUUUUCCAAACAUAAGAAACUUUCCAAAAUUCCCAAAAAGUCUAAAAGAUUUCAGAAAUUCAAGUUUGGCAGAAAAAAAGAUACCCAAAGAAAAAAAAAUAAUAAAUGUUUUCUUUAUGGAAAAUCAGGACAUUUUGCACAGAAUUACCCUAAGACUAACAAAAUGUCCAUAAAGAUGAUACAUGAUAUUACAAAUAUCUCAGGUAUUAAUCUCUCAAAUGAUAACCUUGAAUCAGUAUUUUCUCUUGAUGAUGAGCAAUCUCCUUAGUUGUUGUUUAUGAUCAAGCAAUAUACUAAUGAUAGUUCAAACACAAGUUCAAAUGGCCAUUCAAAAAAUGAUGAUGAUCAAUGCUUUGAUUAUAUGUCAACCCAAGAACUUUAGAAAAUUCAAAUCAUUCAGCCUCCAUAGACACCUCUGGCUCUAGCUCAAAUUUUCAUUCAUAAACACUAACCUCCUAUAAAAGUUACUAUUUUUUUUUAUACUAGUGCAGCUUAAACCAUAACCAACAUUAUUGUCCUACCAAAAUUUCUUUGGAAAAGACAAAAAAAAUCUUUAAAACUGUUGAUGAAAAUGUUUUCUCUACAGAUUUUAUCAGUUAUCCUGUAACCCUUCAGAUCUUCUCAGGAUGUCAAAUAGCUCAAAGGAUCUUAGGAUUAGCACUUUCACAGAAAAACUUAGUUAUUGGUUUUGAUGUUAUUACCAAUAUAUUGGGUUUAAAGCUCAGUGAAAAAGGUAUCAAGUUUGAAGGUUAUUUCUAGGCAUAGAAACACCUUCCUAAUUUCUUCAUUAUUACUACAUAGAUUUGUUCUAAAAAAUUUGGUAAAAGUUAAUCUAGAUCUCAUGUGUGAACUCUCACUAAAAUUCUUCCAAUAAUGCAAAAAACUCAUGUGGAAAAACUUUGAUUUCUUCAUCACUCUUCCUUUAAAAAAAUGAAAAUAUCAAUCCAAUAAAGGCUAGUCAUUCAAGCAUGAAUCCAUAUCACUUAAAGUUAGCCAUUGAAGAAUGUUCACAACUCCAAGCUCAAUGUUUAAUUCUACUAACUUUUUCACUGUAAACAUAUAAAGCAUCUUAUGUGAAUAAAAUAUCAGAACAAGUUAGAGAAAAAUUAAAAUUGGUUAUCAAUUACAAACCUCUUAAUCUUUUCUUUGUAAAUGAUAAGUUUUCUCUUUUCCAUAGGAAAAUGUUAUUCCAUAAUUUGUCAUAGGCAAAACUUUUCUCAAAAUUUAAUCUCUAGACAAGAUUCUGGCAACUAGAUAUACAUCAACAGGACAGAUACAAAACAAUAUUUUACAUUCUUCAACAUCACUUCCAAUAGAUAGUUAUGCCUUUUGGAUUAAAAAUAGCUCUCUUUUUUGUUUCAAAAGGCGAUGACAAAAAUAUUUACUCCAAUUUUAGAGAAUACCUUUAUUUACAUUGAUGAUAUCUUUUUUUUUCUUCAAAUAUUACAACUCAUGCACAGUUACUUGAUAAAUUUUAGUCAAUAGGACAACAGUAUGAAAUAAAGUUGUAAAAAAAAAAGAUGACCAUUGAUGUAACAUAAUUGAUUUUCUCGACAUGCAUUUGAAAGAUGGACGGUAUAUUAUACAACCCCAUAUUGCACAGGCACCUAAAGAUUUUCUUGAUGAAAAUCUUUUGAAAAAACAAGUUUAAUUAGAAUAGUAAACUACAUAAAUGAAUUUCUUCUAAAUCUUGCUCAAAUAACUUAUCCUCUCAUACAGAUGUUAAAAAAAGAGCCUCUUAAAUGGUCCUAGAAGUAUACAAUGUCAAUAAAGAUGCUCAAAGACCAAUUAGAGUCUAUUUUAGCUUUAAAGAUUCCUUCAUAUGGAAAAAGAAUUUUGAACGUAUAUGUAAGUGAUAAGUUUUGGUUUGCAAUACUUUUGAAAAAAAAAUGAGAAAAGAAAAAUUUAUGGAUACAAAAGUAGUAGAUUCAAAAAUUCAAAAAUCUAUUAUCACUUUACGUUAAAAAGAUUUUAACAUGAAAUAUGAUAUCCAAAUAUUUGAAUUUCACCUCAUUAGUUACCAUUUCCUUCUUAAAUUGGACAUAUCAACCUUUAACUAGAUGUUUAAUUUCAAGAAAAAAUAUAUGCUUAAUGCUUAGUUGCUCAAAUUAUCUCAAUAGUUUUUGAAGUAUUCCUUCACCAAGAAACAUAUCAAAAGAAAUGAUAAUGUUCUUCUAAAGAUGUUAUCCAGACCUCCAAGACCUUCAGAUACUUUGAAGAUCAUUCUUGUUAUUGCAAUGAUGAAUCCCUUAUCAUCUUUCCAACCUUCAUCUUCAACUCCUUCCAUAAAAAAAACCUCACAUUGAUGAUGAAUUUAAUGUUUUAAAUGAAUUCUUUCAACUCUCAGUAGAAUAACUCCUUCCAGAGUUACCUAAACUGAUUGCAAUCAAAUCUUUUAAUGUUAAAGCCCCACAUCUUUCGUUCGAGUACUAGUUUAAAAUACUUCAUAGAUUUAGAGACGCCUCUAUACAAUCUCUAGGUUAUACACCCAGAUUACCCUUUCAUCCAUCCUUUAAAUUUUUUUGACCCAUUUUGGAUCUCAAAAGAAACAGUUUAUUUCAUGUCGUAUUUUUCUUCUAAUGGUUCAAACCUAUUCCCAUAUGGAUACACUAGAUAGAGACCUAUGGCAGAUAUAAUAAAGUUUUCCUUGGUCCCCAUAUUAUUUUAAUCUUUUUUAAGCAUUGUAGUUACUUGGCAAAUCAACCUCAAUACUUUUUAUAUAUGGUAAUUUAUAACUCACAAAGUUAUUCAUUGUCAAAUUUCAUGUUUGAUCACCCCUCAAAAGUACAUAAAAUUUCAAAGAUAGAUAUGUGAAAUGAACCAAAUAUUGCUUCUUCAAAUUUGGCCAAAACUUUAAAAUGACAUACCAUGAGGAAACUACCUCUCAGAAUAUAAUUAUCAACUCAAAAUUGAUAAAAAGAUUUAUGAGAUUAGAUUUAAUUGUGCAUGGCAAGAACCCUUUCCAAAAGAUACAAGAUAUAAACUUAAUCAUACUAGUCUAGUUGAAUGGAAACUAUAUUGGAAACUUUAUAAAAUUGUUAAAGAAUCAGACUGGCAAGACUCCCAAGAUCCAUUUGAUAUAGAUGAUAACUUUGAUCCAGACUAAUAUUUAGAGAAUUUUGGUCAUGAUUUUAUCCCAGAAGCAAAUAACUCCCGUCUCAACCUCUCUUCAAAGCAUUGUUUCUAAUGCUCUCUUUUCAAAUGAUGAUCAAAAUGAAGAUUUUUCCUAUUUAAGUCUAAGAUAUGUAUAAUUACACAUGCAAUUUUGUUCAGUUUGUUCAAUGUGCAGCCUCUACUAUGACAAGAUAAGAUUGGUGUUGAUAAAUCAACAUUAGCUUUUAUCAACAUCAACUUUAUGUCAGCUUUGUAUUAAGUCUACUUUAUGUCUUUAAUAAAUUGGUGUUGACAAAUCAACAUUAGCUUUUAUCAACAUCAACUUUAUGUCAGCUUUGUAUCAAGUCUUAUUUAUGUCUUUAAUAAAGUUGUAAAGCACUUUGAUAAAAGGAAAAAAAACAUAUCUUUUUUCUAUUAAAGCUACUUUAUUAAAGUGAUUUUAGUUAUUUUAUUUGUAUUAUGACCCUAGUCAUUAUGUCAGGUGCUAUUCAUUUGCUUUUUCUUCCUAUAUAAGUUUGUAACCCCUUCCUUAUGAAGGCAGGAUCAACAUUACUUAAAAGACUAUCUUGUAACCCCUUUGUAAGAAAACUUUUGUAAAAUAUAAGUAUAUGUUUCUAAACUUCUUCCCUUUUGGCUAUUAUUUUCUUUCUCAAUCUUAGUCUUAAAAAUAUCUCUUAGUCAUUUAUGUCAUGAUUUACAGUGAUACAAGUUAGUAUACUCUGUAAUUAUCAUAGCAUUAUGGACCUUUUGCAUCAAAAUUCUUAUAGAAUUGUCACACAAAUCAAUGAUCCACUCAACAAAAAAAAAAGUUACUAUACCAAAGAAUACUGAAAUAGGCUACUAUAGUGAAAGGCAUAGUUUUAUAAAAAUCGAGCUACCUUGCUCAAUAUCUUACCAAGAGAGAGCUUAAUCUUGAAUAUCGACUAGAAUACCUUGGUCUUAUGCCUGAACUAUGGACUGUUUAUGUUUAUUAUCUCCUUAAAGAAAGCAAUCGAUUCUCGUUAAUUGGUAUCAGAGCUUCAAGCCAUAUAGAAACUAAGUUAUUAUCUCUAUAAUUAUAUUAGGUAGAAUUUGGUAGUCAAAAGACUUUUUCUUAUGUAUAUGUUAAACACUAGAUCUGAUUCAAUCUUUUAACCUUUAGAUCUUCAUUUCUUUACCUUCUACUCCAUCUCCUGUACUUAUAAAGUUAUCUUCUUCUAAGUUAGAUUUUCUUUAUGAAAUCAAUUAUAUUCUAAAAAAUUAAAAAAAUCCAAGAAACAUAACUUUUUCCUAUAAAUCUUUUUAAUGUUUUUUCUAAAACUUUUUCUUCCUUAAAUCUAUAAAGACUCUUUUCAAACCAAAAAAUCAAGCUUUAAAAGAAUAUGUUUAGCCUUCAAGUUUGAUCAGUGUAUUUUACCUUUAGGAUCUCAAGAGCACUUUGUUACUAUUCAAAUUCCCUCAAGAUUUUCAAAGUAGUGGAUAGAUCAAUGAUACAUUCACAUCCACUUUGGUGCUGUCAAGAUAAUGUUGAGCAUUCAUGGCCAAAAUAGUAUUCUUGCUUAUACCGUAAUAGCUUUGCUGGAUACAACAUUCAAAGGUUAUAAUAUACAGUGCUUAGCAUAGUUGAGAUGACUCUGAAUGCGAAAACUAUUUUUUCACAGUAUUUCUCAACUACAACAUGUAUCUACAUGAUCUAACUCUUUUAGAUGAUUUGAUAGUUUCAAGUUCAAAUUUUGGAACUGAAAUGAAAGGAAUCCAGGUAAUUCUUCACUAUCAGAUGACAUACAAAAUCUAAGCUUAUGCCAUAAAUCUCUUUUUGCUUAACUCUGGUGAUGCAGUCUUUGUAAAGUUAUAAGCUAUUGACAAGAGACUCAGAUGCAUUUACAUUCUAAAAUAGAUUUCAAAUGAUGAACUUGCUGUCCUACUUUUUAAGUCAUGGACAAUAAGUUAUCAAAAGCUUUGGAAACAUGAUGAACCCAUCCAACACUUUGAUCCCUCUUAUACCACAAACCUAUCUGGUAUUGUCACAAUCAAAUUUUAUCACAACAAGUAAAAAGAGACUCCUACUCCAACUUCUAUCUUUCUUAUACAAUUCAUGAUGCAACCAUGUCAAUAAGAAUCAAAUAUAGCAGUUACACAUUUCAAACGUAAUGCAUUACAUGUAUACACAUACAAAUCUCUAGAAUUACAUUGUUAUUGGGAUGUUGAUUACAGUUGUAAAGGAUGACAAAAAGACAAACGUAAAAGUUUAUUUGAUGAUGAUCAAAGAAAACUAAGACACAAAUCCUUCCAACAAAAGCUGAAAGAAAUAUUUGAAAAUGAUGGCCCUAAAGUAGAUAUCAUUGAUGAACCAUUGAAAAAGUUUGAUUAUUAUAUCAUUUAUCCCAAAUACAAGAGGCCAGUUAUCUCUUAGCCAAAUUUCUUAAACCAAACACCUGAAAAGCCAAAACCUCAACCAAGAAAACCUUUACCUUGGUAUGUGGUUAGUUUUACUUGCAUUGUUAUAGAAGAAGCAAAAAAAGCUAAGCUAAAGCACCAAGUUAAUAAAGCAGAAGAGGCUAAAAAGAAACAUCAGCCAAUGAAAACUCAACUAGAGAAUUGUCAACCUCUUUUUUAGAUUUACAUGAUGUAGCCAACAAGAUCUUUUUAUUUUUAUGAUGCAUAAUUUCUUUCUCUCUAGGAAUUCAUAAAAAAUCAAUACAAACACACUCUAAAAUCUCAAACCUUACUGAUAGAGAUGAAUAUGAAAAUUAAAAAAUAAUCUCUCAAGUAAAAGUAGUAUUGAAUUAGAAAACAAAAAACUUUAUUUUUUAGAAUUCAGCUCUGUAAAAAAUAGAAAACAAGUUAAAACAAGUGAGCCAACAUUUUGACCAAAAUUUCAUCAAUUUUUAGAAUAUUAUUCUUGAUAUUCAAGCAAAAAUGAUUAUUGUAGAUCAAGAGCUUAAACAAUUGGUUGAAAGCAAAAAUGGUUACACUUAAGCUUUUGUUGAAAGAGAAAUAAAGAUGAAAAGUCUCAAGAUUUAACUUGUAGAUCUUCAUAAUCAACUAUAUCAAAAACUUUAACAACAACAAACUUUAAGUAUUUUUGCUCCAGUUAACAUUGAAUGCAUGAUACUCCUUAUCAAGCUUACACCCCAUCUUUACCUCCAAAACCUUUCUUCACCCUAAUACCAACCAAAACCAACCACACCAAUACUAACGAAAACCAACCACACCAAUAUUCACACCUCUAUCCGUAACUAUAACUUCAUACCCCCAGCCUAAACCAUUCUUCACACCCCUUUCAGAACAACCAUUUUAUACUCUUCCCUUAGAACAACCUUAUUUUAGCACUAUUGAAAAAUGGAUACACAGAUUUAGAGAAAAAUAGGCAAUGGAAAACAAACCCAAAAGAAUUGUAAAACAAUCACUUUCUCAACGCCCAAAGCCAAAAACAACCACCACCACAGUUGCUACUCUUUCUAUUUCCACUCCUGACCAAACUCUUGAAAAUAUGUCCUAUGCUUCAUUUGAACUUCCUUCUUAACUCAUGAUUUCCUUGACACAGAAUGUUCUUCCCAACAUGUUCAAGUAGAUGAUGCAAGAAAAUCUUUUUCAAUUUUCAAUAAUAAAUAUCUUCAUUUCUGCAGUCGAAAUUAAAAGCAUUACAUGUGAUAUAACAAAUUGACAUAGAAAUGGAAUUAAAAUACCCUUUACUUUGGCUAGUUAAAUCCUUAAAGAUUUUUUUUUUUUUUAUGAAUGAAUCUUUCAAGAGUUAGAUCGAAUGCUAUUACACCAAUUUUUUUUAUUUUGACAUUAUAUUUCAAUUUCAUUGAUUUUUGAAAAAAAAUAAUGUAAUUGGCAGAAAUUUAUUGCUUGUUUGAGUGAAAUGUUUUGUAAAAUAGUUCAAUAUUUUUUUUUUCAAAAAUUAAUGAAAUCAAUAGUAUAAUGAUAAAACUAAUAAAAAUGAAAUUUACUAUUAAAUUAUAAUAUAUUAAAGAGGUUCAUAUCCUAACUUUUAAUCUAACCAUUUGUACAGAGGUAAAAGAUUAUCUAUCAAUAAAAAUAGUAUCUCUAUUUUUAUUCUCAAUCACAAUGGAUUUUUAGUAGAUCUUAACGCUAUGUUUGGAUAAAUAUUAAUAAAAGAAAGGAAAAAAAAUUUUUUAAAGGAAAAGAAAGGUUACAUAUAACCCUUGUUUGGAUAAUUAAAAUUAAUAAAGGAAAUGAAAGGAAAUGAAUUUUAACAACCAUUGUUUGGAUAAAUAGUAAAAAAGAAAUGAAAUUAUUCAUUAUAAUAAUUUUUUUCAAUUAUAACAUUUUAUUACCUAUGAUUUUAGAGUACUCCUAGACUAUGAUAUGUUUGUUAUCUUAUCUGACCUCACAAUUGCUACUAUAUCAAUGAUUUUUAAUCAAGUAAAACGAAAAAAUAUUUUAUAAAUAUGCAUUGAUGAAUUUUGAGCUAAUCUGACAUCUCAUAAACCUAAAAAAUAUAUCUAUUUAUAUUCAAUCAUUCAUCAAAAUCAAGUUACCAAAAAUUAUAAAAAAUUUUAAUAUUGGAAGAUAUAUAUGAAACUUACUUGAAAAAAGAGAUAGUUUUGAAAAAAAUUAUAAAAUGAUUAUGAUCUGUUUAAGUUUUUUUAUUAGAUUUUUAGUAUUAAUUAAAACAUGAACAUAAUAAUCUUUUUAUAAAAUUUUUUUUUCAACUUUCAUUUUCCUAUCUUUUCCUCCAAAUUAGGAUAUUACAAAAAUUGGAUUUACAAGGAAAAUCUAAAGUUAUUUGGUUUUCACCUCUUUUUCUUUCUUUAAAUUAAAUAUUUAUCCAAACAAAAGAAAUAAAAUUUUGUUUUUUUUACUUUACUUUCCUUUUGUUCUUCUCUCCUCAAUCCAAACAUACCGUAAGAGUUAUUGAAACUUACUAAUUAUGAGUUUAAAACUCAUGAACUCAGAUUCUGACAGUUACCAUUAAACCUUCAGAUGAUUUAACCACAACCACUAAAUAUUAACUUAUAAUAAAUUGAUAGAGUUUGUUUUAAACAUUUCAGUGUUAUAAAUUUGAUUUUUGGUUAAUAAAUAUGAUUUUAGUAAAAAUCUUGUGAUUAUCAUUAAAAUAUAUUAAGAUUUCACGAAAAGUCUCGCGAGAUCAUAUAAUAAUUAUUUGAGAUAAAUUAUACACAUUUAUCAUACUACUUUAUAGUUGGUUCUAAUAUAUUAUUAAUCUCAAUAUAAGAUAUAUUUGACUAAGAUUUUAAAAGUAUUGUUCGGGUUUGCAAUGAUUUAAUUUGACUUUUAAAAAUAUUUAUUUAUUUAUUUAUUGUAAAUGAUUUAUUAUUAUUAUUAUGGCAUAUUUGUAAUCUGCCUGACUGUAAAUGAAUUUACUCUCACAGUUAAAAGAUGACAAUAAGUUAGAUUGAGAUAAUUUUUUACUCAUCUUGAAUCUGAUUUAAUUUGAUUUUAUUUUAUAUCCGAAUUGACCCAACUUGAUAAUAUAUAAAAUUAUACUAAAUUCGAUCCAAUCUAAAAUUAAUAAAAUAUUAUUUUUAAUGUAAAUAUAAAUUUAAAUAAAUAUGAAUAUAUAUAAUUAAAAAAUAAUUUUUGUUAUAUAUUAGGUCGACGUAGGUUUAUCUACAAUCCGAUUCCGAUCCCGAUAUUUUUCUACUAUUAUCCAUCCCGAUCCAAAACUUGAUUAAAAAAAAAAAAAUGACCUUAAAAAUCGAAACCUACAAGGGCCGGAUUGGGCUGCAGUCCCUAUUUACAGCUGCCACAACAGUAUAAAUGAAAAAACAUCUAAUAAUGGGUCCAGUCUUUCAAAUCACAGCUCUUCAUUCCAUUAAAAAUGAUCAUACUGCUAAUAGGGAUAGAAUCAGCUCAUGAUGCUCCUUUCUAAAGCAAUGAAAACCAAAGUAAUAUCAAUCUAAAUCACAAUCAGCUUAUGAAUCUGCAAAAUUUUUCACCCAAAAACCACACAAUCAAUUCAAUCCAAAAGAUAGAAGGCAGUGAAAGUGCAUAUUCAGUCACAGCAAUAAAUUAUAAAGCAUUAAAGUGACGGUAUUGAAGUUCCGAAACAAACUAGGAAAAGUAUAGAAUCAAACCAGCUCUAUCCUCCUAAUGAAGCAAUUCAUUUGAACUCAACAAGGGCCACACUACCAUAGCAUUUAAGGAGACAACUCUAGCACGCAUUCAAACUCAGGAGACAAGGUUGUCGUUUAAUGACAACGAAGCCAGCUGAUCAGCAGCACCAGCAGUCUGCUGCUGCUGAGCGACAGUCCUCAGAACCUCCAUAGCUUCUGCAACCUUGGCUUUUAGAGCAUCAGGUGACUCAAGCAAGUGUAAAACCUCAGUCUGAUCCAUCUCCAGAAGCAUCCCUGUCACUUUAGCUGCUGCAUCAGGCUCCAGCUGUUCAACAAGUGGAUAGAGAUUCUCCCCCAGCAUCUACACAUAUUAACCCAAUGUAAAAAUUUCACUUAACCAGAAUAGUAGUGUAAGUUAUCCAUUUUCAGAAACUUGCACUGAAUCUUUUUAAAAAGGAAUAAUUACAAAAACACUACAGCAAGUUUUUAGUAUCAUUUAAAUGUAUGAAAGAAGGAAAUUAAAUGUUACUAGUAAAAAUUCACAUCUCAAUAGGGGAACCCUAUAUUUUUUAAAUAUUAGAGUAUCAUACUCUUCAACGUAACUUUUAACUUUUGUAAUUAACCCUUCUAAAAUUGACUAAAAUGUGGUACAAGUAUAAUCUAAACUUGAACAGCAUAACUAUACAGAACAUAGAAAUAACAAAUAAAUAAAGCAAAGCAGUGCAUACUGUUCUCUGCUGAUCUGAAGUAGCAUUUGCAAGUGCUGACGCCAAGGCUCCUAUUGGAAUUGGCUGAGAAAGUGAAGUAUCACGCAUCGGCAUGCCACCCAUAUCAUAUGGAACAGCAAGCAUGCCUCCAGCAACAUUAGCCAUUGAAACAUCAGGUAGACCACGCCCUGAUGGAUAGCGAUAGACCCGCCCUCGUGGUAGCAUCUGGUAUUUAAAUGAACCAUCAGAUGAAGUAUUUACAGAUAUGAACAUACUUAUAAAAGAUAUUACAAAAUCCAAGAAGUGAUUAAACAAACCUGCUGCUGCAUUAAUGGAACCGGUUGCUGACUUUGCUGAAUGGCCCCAGCCCUUCUGCCACCAGGACGCUGACCCUGCUGGCCUUGCUGAACCAUUGGUACAAAGAAAUUUGGCAUGGGAGCCCCACCAGGCCUCAUACCAGGGACAAGCUGCUGUUGAUAUCCAAAUCCAGCCUGGUGGAAGAUAAAAGGUCCAUAAAUUUCUAAAGCAGAUUUACAAAUACAUUGAUUACUUCAGAAAGUUAAAAUAUACUUCUAUGACUAACGAUGCCAAGAAAUAAAAUGCAAAAUAAAUAGUUACCUGAGGAGGAAAAAUAGCAGGAGGUGUUUGACCAUAGAAUAUUUGCUGCCCAAGACCUGGACCACCAGGUGGGUACAUUGGCAUACGAGGUGCAGGUGCCAUUGCAACUGGUCGCAUUUGAGAAAAUUGAGCCUGUAAAAAGCCAAUUACAUGCUUUAGCAUACCAAAGAAUCAAAACCAUCCUAUUGCCCCAGGCUCAAAGCAAAUAUCAGGAGAACAAACCUGCAACCUAGCUCUCCUAUCUUCCUUCCUUUGAGCUAGUGCCACAUAGAGAGGUUUGCUUACAACCACUUUGCCAUUCAUCUCCACAAGCUGUCAUAAUAAGAAAAACUAUUAGCUUAUGAUAAGAUCAUGAGAGUAAGGACAGCAUUGUCAUCUUACAGCUCUAGAUGCUUCUUCUGGAGUUGAAAAUGCAACAAACCCAGAUCCUUUACUUAUUCCAUUAGGGUCUCGCAUAACCUGUUAAAUUAAAUAAUUGGCUUCAGUCAAACGAUUACCAGAAUCCAUUGAACUUAACUAUUCUAGAAAACAUGCUAACAAACCUUGCAUGAUGUUAUGGUACCAUAUUGAGAGAAUAACUCUUUAAGUUUUUCAUCGCUUAUGCUAUCGUCCAAAUUCUUAACAUACAAAUUUGCACCAUGGAAUUUAUCCGCUGCCUCUUUCAUUGUCUGCUCAAAUCGAAGUUUCAGUUCAACCUCCCUUUCAGAUUUUUUUUGAGCUUUCCCAACAUACCACUCCUUAUCAUAAAAUUUCUUUCCAUCGAGGGACUCAACAGCAAUAGCUGCGUCAUCUGCAUUCUCAAAGUUUAUAAACCCAAAGCACUUGGAUUUCCCAUCUGGUUCCCUCAUCACCACAGCACUAGUGAUUGGACCAAAUUCACCAAAAAUGUUCUUCAAAUCUUCUUCACUUGUUGAUUCUGAGAGAUUCUUUACAUAGACAUUGUUAAAUUUUGCCUUGCUAAUAGAAGUGUCUCUUUCCUGCUUUCGAACAAAGGGGCCUACAUACACUUGCUUAUCAUUCAGUAGCAUACCAUUCAACUUCUCUAUUGCUUUUUGGGCAGCUUCCUCAUUGUCAAAUUGUACAAAGCCAUAACCUUUUGAAUGGCCAGAGGGGUCUGUGGCUAC
rnacentral:lncRNA from 1 species